UUCAUUUUUCUCAGCCUCAUUUUCUUCAUCCAUUCAAAUGGGUUUAUUCUUGGCAAUAGCUCUAGGGAUUUUUUUUUUACAAUUUAAUGAGCAAAUACCUGCCAAAUAUUCACUAUGGUGCUUGGCACAGAGUAGGAGUCUCAUAAAUGUCAGCUGUUAUUAUUUUUCGCUGUUGAUUCAUAUUAUUAUUGAUAUUUUAGGCUAUUUUACUCAGUUGUUCCAUGCUAAAAUGCAAAUCAAAGCAAUUGUUGAAGCUAAGAUGGAGGUAAUUAAUUACCGCUUUUGCCCAUAAGAUGUUUAAUGACCACCAGUUAAGAGUUCUGUCUUCUAUAUACAUGGCUUCCCACGCUUCAUUUGCAAAAUAGGUGCUUACAUACACAAGAUUUCCUUUUAAAAGUACUUACCAGCUCAGCUGCUGUUUUUCUGAUUAACCAACUUUCUCUUUAAAGACUUGAAGUCAUGAAGUUUAUUUUUUGUGACAUUCACUCAAGGAUAGAAACAAGGAUUAUCAAUGGUUUUCCAGCAGGCUCUUAUGUCAGUUUCAUCAUGCAAACGUGCAGAUGUUGUUUACACGAAAGACACAUUUGUAGAAAGAAGGUAAUAUUGACAGAUAAAAGCUGCUGUAAGGGACAAUUCUGAAAAGUGUUGUUGUGCCAAUUCUAUUAUUUUGCUACCACUUUCCACAAUUGUUAAUGCCUUCAGUAUGAGUGUUUAACUCAAAAUUAAAAUAUAAUUUUUGGUAAAUUUUAUUCUGUUCAACAUUUUUUUUUCCUGAGGCUGAAUGUGCAUAACCAUUCAAGCAAUCAAUAAGUUUUAAAAUCAAGUACCUUCUAGGUACCUAAAACCUUUCAAAGACUUCUAAUUAUACCUAGAAUAAAACCCAACUCUGCCUAUGUUCUACAAGUCUCUAUGUGAUCUCCUGCUUCCUGCUGCUCUCAUGUCUCCUUGCUUUCCCUGCCCUGCCCCUUUGGCCUGCUCUUCCAUCCUAGAGAUUUGCAUUUGGUGUUUAAGUGUCUAGACCUCCUAAUAUCAAAUGUUUGCAUGGUGUGUUUCUUAUCGUCCAUGUCUUACCUUAAUUUAUCAACUAUUUGAAUUUUCUCUGCCAUAAACUAUUAAGUAGCCUGCCCCAAACCAGGUACUUCCUAACACAAUUCCCUUUAUUUCAUCAUUGUUCUUAGCAUUAUUUAAAAUUAUAUUUAUGCAUAUAUAUACAUAUAUAUUCAUAUUGUAAUAUUUUAAAAUUAUUUUUUUAUCUGACCUGUAUUGCUGACAAAACUUAAGACCCCCAAGACCAGAAGCCAUUUCUGUCUUAUUCCUUGGUGUAUUACUUGUGUUUAGAAUUACAUUUUUUGGCUAAGAGAAUAAUUGUAAUACCAGGUACAGAGGGGGAUACAGAGAAGUUUCAAAGAGUAUCAUAAUUCUUUAGAAGGCUUCUGUCUAAUGGGAGGUUUAAGCCACCGGUGUAUGAGAAGCUAAUUAAACAAGCCGGUAUAAUUAAGUGAUGAAAGCAAAACAUAUUGGGAGGCUGAAUAUGGAGAAACCACUUUAUGCUGAUCAAGGGUGGAUUGAUAGUGGGGGUAGGUUUUAAGCUGGGCCUGAAGGAUGCAUAGGGUUUAUAAAGGAACACAGUCAUCGUUCAGCUCUUCUUCACACAAAUCCAAGUGUGUAAGUCGUUUCACUGUAACUGCAGCCCAGGGAUAUUUGCCGGAGCCCAAGUGAAUCAAAGGAAAGAAGUUCAUGUUGACUUUAGUGUUUGCUGCUGUCCUCGUAGAUUUCACAUGGAUUAGAGGGUCCUCCAAAUGGGGUGCUGCCCACUUUAACCGCUUUUUCCCAUGCUUCUUGCCCACUGUGCCUCAUGGUCCAGGCGGACUGCUUUUCUCCCUGAUUACAUUUCCUAGAAGGUGCCCUGCUCACCCUUUUUCCUGGAUGCUCACUCAGGGGUGUUACUAGGCCUGAACUCUCACCUGGCUGUGCCACUUCACCCAGCUGAGGCCUUCUCAUUCUUCACUUUGUAGUUGAGGAAUCUGGCGUUCAGAAGCCCCCUUCGUUUCCAUCCAGACUAGCUUAGGUCUCCUACCCUUUGGCUUGACCUUUCUGUACCUCUUUCAUGUUGCCCAGGACAAUUCCUCAUCACUUCAUGUCAAAUCGCUGUGUUCCCCCACCAGGCUGUGGACUACAUGAGGAUGGGAAUUCCCUUUUUACUGCCCUCUGUACCUUAAGAGCAGCCCCAAGCCUAGCGCAUCCCAGGGGCUAAGUAGAGACUUCCCCAAAGGAUGAAUGAAUGUUGAGGAAAGGCAAAAAGGCAGCAUUCUGAUAUCCUUAAGCGGGAUAUCGGAAUGCUGAGGUUAACUUGAAACCAUUUUCGAAACCAUAGGCUCUUACUUAAAGGAAACCAACAUGAAAAUGCCAACACCACCUUAUUUACAAGGUGCUUUGUUCACUUGAGCUAUUAAAGGGCUGCGCUGAUGGGAAGCUGUGUAUAAUUGUAGGUAUUAUGCCGGAGACCACUUUCUGUCAGGCUGCCAGACCAAAGGGGCAGGGACCGUUCUCUAGAGGCCCUCACCCAACAGGAUUAUUAAACGAAUUUGUAAGGGUUAAUAGAUGGGUGGUAGCUCCUUAAAACCAACUCUAAAUGCAUUACUUUGACCACAGACACAUAAUAUGGACCAUCAUGCAGAGCCUGGUGAAGGCUGAAGUGCAUCUUUGCUAGGUCUGUGCUACGCAUAUCAGUUAACAGUGGUACUUGAGGUCUCUCCUGUGUUCCAGGCACAAUUCCAGAUGCUUUGUACGUACCAUUGCCAGUCCUUCCAGAUAACCACUGAGGCGUAGGCAUUCUCAUUUCCAUUUAUAAUUGAGGAAAUUGAGGCUUAGAAAGGCAUUGUGGCCAUAGGAAACUAUUAAAGAUUGCCUUUUUUCCAGCCCGGCCAACAUAGUGAGACUCUACCUCUAUGAAAAAAUGAAAAAUGUUGUCAGGUCUAGUGGUGCAUGCUUGUGGUCCCAGCUAUUGAGAGGCUGAGGAGAGAAGACCCCCUUGAGCCCAGGAAGUUGAGACUGCCCUGAGCCAUGCUUUCAUCACUAAACUCCAUCCCAGAAAAAGAGAGUGGACUCCGACUAAAAAAAUAAAUUGUAUUUCCUUCUUUUUUUUUUUUUUUUUUUCUUUUUGAGAGGGAGUUUCACUUUGUUGCCCAGGCUGGAGUGCAGUGGCAUGAUCUCUGCUCCCUGCAACCUCCACCUCCGAGGUUCAAGUGAUUCUCCUGCCUCAGCCUCACGAGUAGCUGGGAUUACAGAUGCCAACCACUAUACCCAGCUAAUUUUUAUAUGUUUAGUAGAGACAGGGUUUCACCAUAUUGGCCAGGCUGGUCUCGAACUCCUGACCUCAUGAUUUCCCGCCUCAGCCUCCCAAAGUGAUGGGAUUACAGGUGUGAGCCACCACACCAGGCCAAGUAUUUUCUUCUUAAACAACGACAGCUGAGAGUCUCUAAAUUGCUGUCAUGGUAUUUCCUAUGAGAAAAUAUUUUUCUCGAAAAAAAUGGAAUCACAUACACAUUUUGUUAAAUAGAUUGAUCACAUUAUGAUGUUAUGGUCACCUGUUUUCUUAGGCUUCUGUUUGAUUCUAAGCCUUCUUCACAUUCAAAAUUUAACCUGAUUUCUGCAAGGUCAUAAAAUGAAGUUGUGAAAUGCACAGCAAAACUGACUGUACCAACUCUCAGCCCUUCCUCUCUUGGCCUGUUCGGCUACAUUCAAAAUCCUUCAACUUUCUGUAAAAAAGAAAUGAUAUGGAAUCUAUCCCAUGAGUUCGACGUAAGAAUUGAAAGAGUUGGCAGAGAUUCAGCAUUUGGAUCAUGACUAGCUGUUCAUCGGUACAUACCGGAUUCUAGCUCUUACCCUGGGGCAUUUGUGGGGAGUGGUAAGGGCAGCGCUUCAUUCAUCAAUUUGUCCCACAACCAUCGUGGAGACCCGCUCCUGCCUGGCAGUGUCCUGGGCAGUGACAACAGAGUCAUGGGCCGGCGGUGAUCUCCUGUCCUGCAAGACCUGCACUGACUACCCUGACUCUUUGUAACGAAACCUUUAAGAUCCGUCAUGCAAUAUUUUAGCAUACUGAAAACGCGAUUUCAACAGAAUAUCCUGUAUUUUUAUCUUUUUAUUUUCUCCCUUAGCCCAUAUUUUUGGGAGUUUGCUGGCUUUGUUUUAAGGUUUGUUCAGCUCUUGUGACAGAAAUAAUGCUUCAGAGAAUACACAGUCCUUCCAUUAGCUUCUCUCAACUUGAGACGUGUCAGCAGUUCCUAGUGCAUUGGCCUCGUUAGGACAGUUGUCUGUAGACAAAUUUCUUUUCCUUUUAAUAUUGCAUCUGAGUAUAAUAUCUUUGAAGACACUUGAAGCCUCUACUAGAUACUUCCAUUUUAAUUGAAAUCUGAACCAGUAACUUGCUACUGAUCUAAAUACUGUGGGGUGAAAGGCUCUCCCUCCUGCUCUCAGGAGCAGGUGGAAGCUGGGAUGGAGGAGGUGAGAGCUGGCCUGGUUUCUCUGGUGUCCCAUCGCUCUAAGAUGCCUCAUCAAGUAACUCAGGGUGUUAGUUCCCAAAACAGAACGAGGCUUCAGUGAAUGGGAGUGACUUUCUCAGAACAGAUGGGGAUGUAAAUGUGUGUAUUAAUAGGUAUGUUUCACUCUAGAUGUGUUAGGAAGAGGAAGUGGUGGCCUGAUGAAGACCUGAGCUCUGUUUCCUUCUCCUGUGCAAGUAGGACAGCACCUCACUCAUCUCCUAUUCCUUCCCUAUGGGAUCUGUAGCCACUGAGGCCAAGGCCUCCAUUUCCUUAGCAUUUAUUGGAAAAAAACACUGGUAGUCAGUUGUUUUAUAGUCAGUGGCUUUGGUAAGCAGUGAAUUGCCAAGACUCAGGAGGCUGGGGAUGAGAUUAUCACUUCAAAAUUAUAAAGAUGAAUGCCUUGGAAGAGGAGAUGCUAUAGUGAAACAGGGCUCUGGAUACAGGUAGGUGAGGCUGGGAUUGUAGGUUGAUUGAGGAUAUAUUGAGUAGGGGAGGUGAUUUGGAGAAGCUACACUGAGAAGAAGGAACCUGAAAUAGAUUUCCUUUAUGUUCUACAUGCUCUUGGUGAAUGACCUUAAAUGUAUUACAGCAUUUAAUGGUCUCCAUUCUCUACACAGCCUUGGGUAUUGGACACUCACUUGGAGGCACAGAGGGACCCCAUUGACACAGCUCCUAGUGGCAGCUGCUUCCAAUUCUAAAGCAAUGUACUCCCAUGGAAGGCAACUGAGACCCAGUGAGUGGGAGUCCAGGGUGUGUUGGGGAGCAGAGAACUGUGAUAAGAGUGAAAUGUAAUUACAGUCUAAGAAAUCAUCACACACUGGGGCCUGUUGAGAGGUGGGGAGCUAGUGGAGGAAUAACAUUAGGAGAAAUAAGUAAUGUAGAUAAUGGGUUGAGGGGUACAGCAAACCACCAUGGCACUUGUAUACCCAUGUAACACACCUGCAUGUUCUGCACAUGUAUUCGAGAAUUUAUAUAUAUAUAUAUGUAUAUGUAUAUAGUAUGUAUAUAUGUAUAUAUAUGAAAUCAUUCUCAAGAUCUUUUAUAUAUAUAUAAAAGAAAUUAUUCUCAAGAUUCAUCUACAAAUCCAGUACAAAAAAACUAAUUAUUAAUUCAUUUUCUCUUGUCAAAAUGUGUCCAUUUCGGAACAGACUAAAUAUAAUUCAUGUAAUAUUUGAUAUAUUUGCUUAUUCAUAAAUGAAUCCUCAACUAAACUCUAGCUUGUGGUGUUACAAGAAUCCGUGGGGACAAAAGAAGGUCAGAGCAUGCUUUAGUCACAGGGGACUAGGUUUGUUUUAUGUCACAUGCUCUGCGUAUCACUAGGUUACUUUUAUGCUAGAUUUCUGAGUCACACCAAUCAAUAGAAUUAGCCCCUCCUUUCUCUCCUUGCCUUCAUUUAAACAUCAAGGUAAAAUUCAAAGGCUUGCAGAGACUACUUGGGUCAUUCAAGAGAUCACUGUUCUUCUGGGAGUUGCCUUUGUCUUUUCAUCACUGCACUGGUUUUAUUGUCCAGAUUUGGGUUGCUGGCUGCCCAUCACCCAAGGCCUCCUGCCCAAGCCCAUUUGGGAACUGAGCACAGCACAUGCAAACACUCUUGUCAUGGAAUAAGGCGAGGGAAUAGAGAACAGGUUUUAUUUUUCCUGAACUAUUUAAUUGCUGUCCUACGCGGGAACUCCCAGUGAUGACCAGGGAUUUUAUACAACAUUGUAGCUCCAUUCAACAGCAGACUACUAAUUAGUUCAUUUACUUGGGUACUAAACUCAUCUAAGAAGAGGAGCAGAGCCUAAUUAGGGAACUCUCAAAGGAUAUUAAACCCCAAUCUUUUAAAGUUACAGUUUUUAAAAAACACAAAUCCACAAAAGUGUACACACUUGCACACACAUGCUUGUAUGCACACACAUACUGCCACCAAGAAUCCACAUGAAUAGUAUUCCCAAGUAUUUUGUGAUAAUUGAUCAUUUGAAAGGAUUUCAGUUGCUCAGUUGUUGUUCGAUGUUUGUCUUGUGAUAAAAGAAGACCAAAGCAACAUGAAAUAUGCUCACAAUGAAAAAACCAACGAUACAUAUUCCCUUCAACUUAAACAUCUUAAAAAGAUACAAAAAUUUAUUGUUGGCCAGGCGCAUUUUCUCAUGCUUGUAAUCUCAGCACUUUGGGAGGCCAAGGCAGGCAGAUCACAAGGUCAAGGGAUCCAGGCCAUCCUGACCAACAUGGUGAAACCCCAUCUCUGCUACAAAUACAAAAAUUAGCUGGGCAUGGUGGUGUGUGACUGUAGUCUCAGCUACUCGGAAGGCUGAGGCAGGAGAAUCGAUUGAACCCAGGAAGCAGAGGUUGCAUGAGCUGAGAUAGCGCCACUGCACUCCAGCCUGGCAAAAGAGCAGGGUACCAUCUCAAAAAAAAGUAUUGUUAUUAUUGCUAUUGCCUGUGUUAUCACUGUGACCUUCUUCGAGACUAAAAAAAUCAUAUCUUGUUUAAAAUUUGUUGGUGUGAUUUUCUUCUACUGCUAUUUUUUUUUCUUGCAUUUGAUGGGAUUUUUAUGAACCUCUGAUCUUGUUUAAAUUGAUGUUUAUGUUUGGGGGAUCCCCUUUCAUUUGUGUGUGUAGUUUCUAGACAUUUUCCUAAUGGCAGUUAUGUUCCAGGCAUUAUACUAGGUACUUGGUGGGACCCCUAGAAUCAGACACGAGUCUUACCAUCCCAGUAGCAGCUGUAUGUCAGCUGUCCAACCAAUGGUGAAUGAUUGAUUAGAAAUACAAACAUUUAAAAGAUGUGGUUCCUUCUAGGAAGUGAAAAAGGAAUAGAAUUAAGCAAAUGUAAUUGAACAAAAUAUGUGUAUAAAUAAAGACAUUUGACGAAAGGAAAUAUCAGAAAGAAGGGAGAGAUAAGGAGUUGUAGAAAUUAGCAAGUCUUCACCGAGAAAGUGGCUUCUGAGCAGGGCCAUGAGGGAUAAAGGAGAAAAUGUCAGGCAAAUGGGAGAGACAUCAAUUUAAUGAAGAAGGAGAGAGGAAGACAAAUGAUCUAUUUAGCGGGAAUUUAAAAUAUUUUGCUAUGGCUGACGACAAUGUUUGAGGCAGGUAGUGGAAUUAUAGCAUUUAAUGUUCUCCCAUUCAGCAGAAUGCAAAAUGAAGUGUUAUUUGAAAUGGGGCACACUCAUGUAAGGCCUUAUAUGCUGUGCUUCAGGGCUUGAAGACGGUCACAGCAAAAAUGUAGGCAAUAGCAAUAAUAACAAUAAAUGUAAGCAUUUACUGAGAAAGACCAUGUACCAGGUUUCCAUUUGCCACUUCCCCUAUCCCUAGAGUUUUGGCCAUGCCAGAUGAAAUAGUUCUGCAGAUCCACUCCUUGACCUCAUGCUAGUAGGGAACGAUACUGCACUGAGUCCUUAAAAAUUUAAGUGUAUACACUGGGUGCAGUAGCUUGUGCCUGUAAUCUCAGCACUUUGGGAGGUCAAGGUGGGCAGAUCACUUGAGUGCAGAAGUUUGAGACCAGCCUGGCCAACUUGGUAAAACCCCGUCUCUACCAGAAAUAUAUAUUUUUUAAAUUAGCUGCAUGUUGUGGCACGUGACUGUAAUCCCAGCUACCCUGCAGGCUGAGGCAGGAGAAUUGCUUGAACUGGGAGGCAGAGGUUGCAGUUAGCCCAAAUGGAGCCACUGCACUCCAGCCUGGGUAACAGAGUAAGACCCCAUCUCAAAAAAAAAAAGAAAAAGUGUAGACCUCAGGUUACAUAUUUUUUAAUCACAAUUAAAAUCAAAUGCUACAUGAAUUGUCUUAUUUGGCUAUUGCAAUAUUCCUAGAAGUUAGGUUCUGUUAUACCCUGGUUUAGUCAGGAGGUCAGCUGAGCUGAGAGAGAGUGAGAGAGAGAGAGAGAGAGAGAGCGUGCUGAGCUGCCAGGUGUUGGAGUAGCCAAUUAAAGCAACAACCCAUGAAUGAGUGAAGCCUUUAAUCAUUUACUGUGAUAGUGCGAACAAGAGGCUAAGGCCAGAAAAGCACCGACUCCCCCGUUACAUUUUUCCCCAUGGAAUGGCACAUCGGUCAGGUGGAUCAACACAGAUGUGGGGUCAUCUCACAGGUGGAGGGAGCCCUUAACAAAAGGCUCUAGGAGUUUUGUGGACCCUGAGGUUGUGGUAGGGAGAGAACAAGAAGGAAGGUCUAGGAGUGGAAAAGUACUAGAGUAGAGUGGGGAAAGGAUCUUCAAGGCUUCCUCCGCUCCACCACAAAGAGGCCUCUGCAGAGGUGCCUAAUGAAGACCUCCCCCAAAAGGCCUCAGAUAAAGUGACCUGGGAAUGCAGGAGCAGGAGUUAAGAAUGCAAAUUUGUGCAAGAGCCUGACCGGACAGGUGGUUCUGAAGCCUGGACUCCAACUCCCUUCAGAGAUUGCCGUCUGUUGGCUGUGUACCAAGCUGGUGAGGCAAAGCCUUCAUCAUAGUCUACGUUCAGGCCUGAGAAAUCACAGGUGGGAUUUUAACCCGGAGCCACACUCCUCUGAUGACACCACAGCAGAGCCAGAAUUCACAUUUAGGCAGUUUGCAUCUAGCCCCUAUGCUCCUACCAUUACUCUCUUCCACCUCUGCAGGCUCAGGGAGCCAGUGAGUGCUUUUGCUCACUUAGGCAAGCAUGGGUGGAUCUGCCUUGGAGGAGAAGUACGCUGGUAGAUGAGCAGGAAUAUCAAAAGACAUCAACAAAGUAGAUGAGAAUUUCUGUAGGUUAGGUGUGGAUAAAACAGGAAAAAGAGAAAUGACAUUCAGUUCACGGCAGCAGGCAGGGCUCCUUGGAGGAGAGCGUAUGUGAGCAGAAUUUUGAGUAGAUGGGAUUUAAUCCUGUUGGGAGGGCUGGCACAGCAUCCCAGGUGGUGAGAAGAGCAAGGAUAAUGCAGCAGGAAACACACUGUGUGAGUGUGUGUGUGCAUGCGCUCAUGUGUGUGUAUGUGCACGUCUGUACACAUGCGCAUGUGUUUGCAUGCAUGUGCCUGUGUGUGUGUGCACACUCAUGCGUGUAUAUGUGCACAUCUGUAUGCAUGGUCAUGUGUUUGCAUGCAUGUACCUGUGGGUCUGCACACACUCGUGUGUGUAUGUGCACAUGUCUACGCAUGCACAUGGUUGCAUGCAUGUGCCUGUGUGUACACUUGCGCAUGUGUAUGUGCACAUGUCUGUACGCAUGUGAAUGUGUUUGCAUGCAUGUGCCUGUGUGUGUGCACGCUCAUGCGUGUGUAUGUGCACGUCUUUACACAUGCGCAUGUUUGCAUGCAUGUGCCUGUGUGUGUGUGUGUGUGUGUGUGUGUGUGUGUUUAAGGAAAAGCAGUGAGUGGCUUUGUUGACUGCUGGACAGCAUCCAUGUAGUGGCUCAGAGGACGAGGAUCAAAGAGGAGAGCAGAAAGGACCCUCUGAGUACACUGGCUUAACUCUUAUGCAAUGCACAGAACGAGGAGGUUUAGAGUGUUGAUAGCUCUGUGAGCUGGUUUGACUCAGAAAAUGAAUACCAUGGAUUCAAGGAAGGAGAGACUGGAGGCCAGAGGACAGUGGGGAGCUGUGAUGCAGGCCAGCGGUUGCUUGGUGUGAACCUGAGUGCCUCUCUGACUCUUUCCCAAAUAAGAUAAGCCCAGCCAGGAGCUCCUUCCUGGCCUCUCAAGCAUAAAUGAGAUAAAGGAAGGGUAGUAAAUUGUUGUGAUGUGGGUGUUGCCUGGGGUAAAGAGAUGAGAUGAUAACAGAACCUGGAUAUGUUCAAACCUGCGAAGUUCCAACUGUGCAUGGCUGGCGUGCUUCAUCAAAUCUAGUGCGGCAGACGUGAACAGAGGGACUGGAAUUGGUAUUGCCAGGUGUUUACAGGGCCUCUUUGGGCAUUUAAUGCUACACAUCCUUCUAGGCAAAUUUUCUGGAUUAAAUUGCGCUUCCCAGCCCCUUUAAAAAUAAUUAUGCUGUCUUCCUCAAAAUGUGGUAUUAUUUGGAGAUAGUGUCACAGCAGAUGUAAUUAGUUAAGAUGACAUCAUACUGGAAUAGCGUAGGCAUCUAAUCCAAUACGACACCUGUCCUUAUAAGCAAAGGACCAUGUAAGGACACACACAGAGGAUACCAUGUAAAGAUGGAGGUAGGGGCUCCAGUGAGGCUUCUCCAAGUUGAGGAACACCGAGAAUUGACAGGAGAGAGGAAGGGAACAGAUUAUCCUCCCUCAGAACUCUCAAGAGGAACCAACCCACCUAACACUCUAAAUUUCUGGUUUUCAUUCUAUUUUAUUAUGAUUUUUUUAAGAGACAGUGUCUUACUCUGUUGCCCAGGCUAGAGUGUUGUAAUGUAGUCAUAGCUCACAGCAGCCUCGAAAUCUUGGACUCAAGAGAUCCUGCCCCUUUGGCCUCCUGAGGAGCUGGGACUAUGGGCACACGUCACUAUGUCUACUUUUUUUUUUUUUUCUCGAGACAGAGUCUCACUCUGCCACCCAUGCUAGAGUGCAGUGGCAUAAUCCCAGCUCACGGCAAUCUCCACCUCCUGGGUUCCAGCAAUUUUCCUGCCCCAGCCUCCCACAUAGCUGGGAUUACAGGGGCAUACCACUAUGCCUGGCUAAUUUUUGUAUUUUUAGUAGAAACGAGGUUUUGCCAUGUUUUCCAAACUGGUCUCAGACUUCUGACCUCAGGUGAUCUGCCAACCUUAGCAUCCCAAAGUGCUGGGAUUAUAGGUGUGAGCCACCAUGCCUGGACUCAUUUUUUUUCUACGAUUUUUUUUUUUUUUUUUUUUGGUAGAGAUGAAGUCUCACUUUGUUGCCCAGGUUGCUCUCAAAUUCCUGGCCCCAAGUGAUCCUCCUGCCUUAGCAUACCAAAUUGUUCUGAUUACAGGCAUUGGCCCCCAUGCCUGGUCAAAAUCUGUCUUUUUUUUUUUUUUUUUUUUUGUGACGGAGUUUCUCUCUUGUUGCUUAGGCUGGCUUACGAUGAUGCGAACUUGGCUCACCUCAACUUCUGCCUCCUGGGUUUAAGCCAUUCUCCUGCCUCAGCCUCUGGAGUACCUGCCUAAUUUUGUAUUUGUUUUUUCAGUGGAGACUGGGUUUCUCCAUGUUGGUCAGGUCUUGAACUUCCCAUUUCAGGUGAUCCGCCCACCUCAGUCUCCCAAAGUGUUGGGAUUACAGGCGUAAGCCACCAUGCCCGGUGCCAAAAUCUGGUUUUAAAAACUCAUCUAGCUUGUGGGAAUUUGUUAUGACAACCCUAGGAAACUAACAUAGCCACAGUUUAGGUUGUUUCCAUACAUCAUAUAAUCGUAUAUUGUAUAUUAUAUACAAUACAAUUAACUUUCAUUAGGGAUUUUAAAAUCUGGAUUUACUUUAGACCAUGUGAGCUCUGAGGAAGAAGUUUUUAAUAAGUACGGGCCAAGGCACAUUUUGGAAAUUGAUAUUUUUUGGUAAACAUGAUCAUCUUUAAGAAUUGUUUAAAAGGCUGCUCUAACCGUCUGUAUGAAAUGGCACAUGUUAAAUUAGUCAGCUGGUCUCAGUGUUAAUCAAAGAGGGGGUCAAGGGUCAGAACCAUCAGCUACACAAGAAAAAUCCAUUCCCUCUCCCCACAUCCUGAGAAUGGACUUCCUGGCCUACAGCCAAGGCCAGUGGUGAGAUGUGAAUUUGCCCAAGUGGAAAAAAUAAUUUCCGAUUAUGAAAGUAAUGCCUGCUCUUUGCAAGAAAUUCAAAAAGAAUAAAAUAUGUAUAUAAAAGAAAAUAAAGAACACCUAUAAUCCCACCACCCAGAGAUACCAAAAUCAAGUGGGUGUACAUGUACACACAUACUCUGUGUGUUCAAAAGUGAGAUUAGCCCAUAUGUAUAAUUUUCUUUUCAGUUUUCUGUGUACUGCAGGGAUCAUUCCCUAGACCUCAUCUCUUUAAUAUCUGUAUGAUACACCAGGGAUGAGUAUGACACAAUUGACUUAAUAAUUCUCCUGUGGAUGGACCUUUAAGUUGCUUUAGUUAUUUUUGCCACUUUGAACCAUGUGGCAAUCAACUUUAUGUGGGUACAUUUAUAAGUUUGUCCGACUACUUAUUAUUAUUAUUUUUUAGAAUCUCUUUUUACAGUGAGCUGCAAAAGUUUAAUGGUUUCUAAUUAAACUAUAGUUGUGCUACACAAGAGGUGAAUUGUCCAUUCUAGAAGGCUUGGGCUCUAUUUAAGCGGACGGUUAUCUAAACCAAGAUGGUGUCAUUAAAUCUGCCUCCCUCCAGAUGACCUCAUUUAUGCGAACAGAGCUCUUCAGGGGCAAAUAAGCAUAGAAGAUAUGACCUUUGCCAGUAAAGAAUCUUACUGUUCAACUAUAGCAGGUGCAAUAAGUGAGCAAUUUUACAAACUUUUUUUUUUUUUUUUUUGAGAUGAAGUUUCGCUCUUGUUACCCAGGCUGGAGUACAAUGGCGCGAUCUUGGCUUACUGCAACCUCCACCUCCUGGAUUCAGGCAAUUCUCCUGCCUCAGCCUCCUGAGUAGCUGGGAUUACAGGCACGUGCCACUAUGCCCAGCUAAUUUUUUGAUUUUUAGUAGAGACGGGGUUUCACCAUGUUGACCCGGAUGGUCUCGAUCUCUUGACCUGAUGAUCCACCCCCCUCGGCCUCCCAAAAUGCUGGGAUUACAGGCUUGAGCCACUGCGCCCAGCCACAGACUGAUUUUUAACCACAUGGACAUAAUGACUACAGGCGUGUGUGUGUGUGUGUGUGUGUGUGUGUGUGUGUAUUAGAAGAUCCAGUUCACCAGUACAUGUAGCAAGGCUAGUAAAGCCAGUGAAUGGGGUCAAGUGUGAACUUAUUGGAAAGGAGACAAAAGACCUGAGACACUGAGAUAGAUCAGCAAAAAGGUGUAUAAGGGUAGAAGUGAGAGUGAGCAAUUAUAGCAGAGGGGGUGGAGUGGCUUAGGUACAUACAUUGGUCAUCACCCUAUGUUUUUUUUAUUCUGAGAAGACUCCUCACCUCUCUGAAGCAAGCAGAUGUCUCUUUAAUAGCUUCCAGAGCAUUUCUGCCUCUCUAGAACUUAGCAUAGCACCUUUGCAUGAUGGAAACAUUUCUUCAACAUGUAAAAUAUGUGAAAGGACUAUAGAUUAUGUUAAAAAUGAAAUUGCCAAAAUGGGUCUAAGACAGCUUAGGUGAAGUUCUUAAAAAAGGCAGAAGAGAAGGAAACCCUUAGAACCUUGCAGGGAGACUUUAUAGAACAGGUGAACUGCAAUGAGGCAUUUUGAAGCUCAAGUGUGUUCCAGUGUAGGGGACUGAUAACUGGGCUGGAAGGCCGGGGCUCUGCUUCUUCAGCCUCAUCCCACACGUGACAAGGACCCUUGAUAUCUCUUCUUAGGAUUCGGUCUACCCUUAGCUAUCAGAACAAUCCUGUUCUCAUGAGAAACUCUAGAAGCUUUGGUUCAGUAGUCCAGCAAUGGGGACUCUGACCUUGUGUGUUGGUGCUAGUAACGAGGUGAUUGCCUGCCUUUUCCUCGUACCCAGACCCAGUAACUUAGAUGCACUCAGUUUUCCAAGGCCUAAGUCCUUGCAUGGAGAAACUGCUUGGAAAGUCAUCUUUUCUGGAACCAGGAAUGACCUUGCUCUGCUAACUUUUCAGCACUGCAGGCCAACCCAGCAGAUGGAGUCUUCUCCAUAUCUCACUUAAUAGAUUUGCUGAGGUAUAAUUAACACACAAUCACCUGGAUAUAUUUAGAAUGUGCAAUUUGAUACAUUUUGAUGUAUUUACACAGCCAUGGAACCAUUAUAGCAAUCAAGAUAAUAAACCAAUCUAUUAUCUGCAAGUCUCUUCUUACCCCUGUAAUCCUUCGCUCCUGCCUCCGUACAACCACUGACCUGUUCUCUGUCACUACACAUUCAUUUUCCUUUUGUAGACUUUUAUCUAACUGAAAUUAUACCACAUGUACUAUUUUUUUGGCCAAGCUUCUUUUUCUUAACGUAAUUAUUUUGAUAACCCUGUAGUUGCAUGUCAAUAAUUCAUAACUUAUAUUGUGAGUGGCAUUCCACUGUAUUGUGUACCACAACUUGUUGAUGUACUCAUCUGUUGAUGAACAUUUGGGAUGUUUCUAGUUUUUGGUUAUUGCAAAAAAGCUUCUAUGGACGUUCAUGAAUAAAUCUUUGUAUGAACAUAUGUUCUUGUUUCUCUUGGACAAGUACCUAGAAGUAGAAUGGCUGGAUCAUAUGACAGGUUUAUGUCUAACUUUUUAUGAAACUGCCCAGUUGUUUUCCACUGUGGUUGUAUCCAUUGAUUUUGUUACCAGCAGUGUAGUAGAAUUCUAGUUUCUCUCAAUCUUUGCCAACCUUUGGUAUAUGGGACUUAUUAAUUGUACCCGUUCUAAUAGGUAUAGAGUGGUAUCUCAUGAUAGUUUUAAUUUGGAUACUCCUAAUGACUAAUUUUGCUGAGCAUUUUUUCAUUUGCUUAUGAGUCAUCUGUUUGUCUCCUUCAAUGAAGUGUCUGUCAAAUCAUUUGCCCAUUUCUGUUGGGUUAUUUGUUUGCAUAUUACAGUAUCUUAAGAGUUCUUUAUAUAUUGUUGGUACAAGUUCUUUAUUAGAUACAUGAAUUGCAAAAAGAGAGUGAUUGCUAAUGAGUCAGGAUUACUUUGGUGUGCAAUGAAAAUAGUCUGUUAGGUUGUGGUGAUGGUUGCACAACUCUGUGAAUAUACUAAAGCCAUUUAAUCGUACUUUGUCAGUGGGUGAAUUGUAUGGUUUACAUAAAUCAUAUUGUAAUAUAUGGGUUUUUUCAUUAUGAAAUAGUGAAAUAUUUUACUUCUCUAGUUUCUCAGCAAUAUAUUGUUAGUUUCAAUAUAUAGGCCUUCUCUCUCUCUCUCUCUCUCUCUCUCUCUCUCUUUCUCUCUCUCUCAUUCCCUCUCUGUGUCUCUCUGUCUCUCUCUUCUCUCUCUUUUUUGAGACAAGUUCUGGCUCUGUUGCCCAGGCUGGAGUGCAUUGGUGUGAUCUUGGCUCACUGCAACCUCCAUCUACUGGGCUCAAGUCAUUCUCCCACCUCAGCCUCCCAAGUAGCAGGGACAACAGGCCCACAGUACUAUGCCCAGCUAAUUUUUGCAUAUUUUUUGUAGAGAUGGGGUUUUGCCAUAUUGCCCAGGCUGGUCUCAAACUCGUGAGCUCAAGCUCUGCCUGCCUUGACCUUCUAAAAUGCUGGGCUUACAGGCAUAAGCCACCAUUCCCAGCCAGGUAUCUCUUUCUCCCCCAGAUUUAUCCUUAUAUAUAGUUUCCUAUUUUUGAUGAUACUAGAAGUGACAUUUUUUAUUUUAAUUUUCAGUUUUGGGCUACUAGAAUGUAGAAAUACAAUUUAUUUUUGCAAUGAGUCUGUAUCUUGUGACUGCUAAACUUACUGCCAUGGUCUGAAUGUGUUCCUUAAAAAUUCAUCUGCUGGAAACGUAAUCCUCAAUGCAAUGGUAUUGGGAGGUGAGGCCUUUGGGAAGAUAUUUGGGGCAUGAAGGCUCUGCUCUCAUGAGUAGAUUAAUGCCAUUAUAAAGGUCUUGACAGAAGUAACUGUCUCAUAAUGUAGAAUUUUCUGGUGAAUAAUUUUAUUUAGGACAGUGUAGAUCACAAGAAAUACAGUAAAUUACCAAAAUUAAAAAGAUGGUUGGUUCAGCACACAAAGCCAAAUUUCUGGUUUAUCUUGAAAAGUAGAAGGCCUGGCAACAUUGGACAUAUAUACCAAUUUGCUCAGGCAACAUAAAUGCCACUCCAGGUUACUUUGAUCUUGGUCACUUACCUAACCCUUAAGCAUGAAUUUUGGUUUUAAAUUCUGCCUUACUUUGAUGGGCUUGCCUAGGCUUACCAAGAGAUUCUGGUAUACUCAUUUAUUUAUUCAUCAUGCAUUCACUCAUCAGUCAAUACUUACUGAGUAUAGCAAUGGCAUCACAAACAGUGUGAUAGUUGCUUUCUACAGAGAGACUAACGCACACUCUAUCUUUCCAGAGAGCUCACAGUUUUGCAGGAAUAAUUGAGAUGCUGUUAUACUGUUAGAAUUCAGCAUAUAUUUCUCCAUGAAUACAGAAUGAGUUGGGAGGUAUCUUGCUUUCCAGAGAGGGUAACACUUGGUGAGAGUCUCCAGAGUAUGAAGAAUUGCCAGGUAGAGAAAAAGGUGUCAAUGCUACAGCAUGUAGCAAGGCACUGAAAUACAAACUGAAAAUAUAAGUUUUGGAAAAUGUUAUCCAUUCUUUGUGGCUGGGACUAAGAGAUGGGGAGGAGUUGAAGCUAGAGACAUCAGCUAUAAAACAGAAGUGCCCACUAGAAGAGACCAUUGCUUGGAGUUAAAUAGAUUGCCCCCCCCACCACCCCCAGGAGGCACAAAUUACUUACUUAACACAAGUAGGCAACCAUUCUCCAACCAGAAAGCAGAUCACUGGAUGUUGUAUAAAAUCUAGAAGAAGCACCUCCAUCACUCAUUGCUUCUUCUGAAUAUUCUGUUAUGAUUUGGUGUGUGUGUGCGGUGUGUGUGUGUGUGUGUGUGUGCAGGUAUUGUUCAGACAAUUUAAUUCACAUCAUUUUUUUCACAUGUCUAAUUAAUAUUAUUUUUCUUUUGCCAAAACAAUUUAUAUGUAAUGUCUCAAUGGAAGUUAAGGGCACAGAAUUCUUUGGAAAAAAUUAAAAUGACACCUCAGCACUAGUAAUUCAAACUCAGAAAAUUCCUGUUUCAUGGUCUUCCAAUAGUGUGAUUUCUUCAAUGCUUUAUUUGUGCUUGUUUCAUCAUGACUGAAGCCAUUUCCCACCAACACUUCAUCUCAGCUAAAAUUUUCUUGGCAAUAUCCAGGUGAAAUACAAUACCCAUUAACCCUCAUUAACCCUGUAGCAUCUUCUGUUAAGGGGAGGUGUUUCCCAGUACAACUAGAAUUUAGGUUAUGAUGAGAAUAUGGUGUUUGUUAGAAAGCCUCUAAAAUCAAAUCUAAGAUGGGGGUGGGGCAAACAAAGGAAAAGAAAAGAAGACUGAAAGGCCGGGGAAAGACAGUAUUGCAACCAAUGUGAAUUUAUUAUUGUUUACCUUCAAGAAAGCAGGGGAACUGUUCAUAUCUUUCUUCCUUAAUUGCUUGGUUGACCUCAGGGGGAAAAUGAGUCUAAGUUAAAUGCACAACAUAUCUUCUGACAAUACUCAGUCCAGCCCCAGUUUCCUUUCGGCUGAGUACCCAUGUGGUUUCUGUGCUUCUGAGCAGAGAGAGUCAGAGUCACUUUAAUAGCCCUUGAGAAAGUGCUUCAGGAGGUAUUUGCAGAGAGCAGAGUACCAGGCCACAGCCUUGUCUCCUCCACAUGCCCCAGAUAUUGAACCUUCCAGUAACUACAAUUACAACCAAAACCACAAAAAGUAGAUUUACAGAUUGUUUUCAGCAACACCCAUUCAAAUUUACUUAUAUUUACACUAGAAAAAUUAGGGUAAGUGCUAUUGUGACCAGAGACACAGACCAGGAUCAAUAACCAACCAAUUCUUGGCUAAUAAAGCACUUCUCUCAGGUCUACGGUUGCUCUAUUCUGACUUUGAGGUUGGCCUCUAAUGUCUUAUCCAUUGACUUUUCCCGUAAAUAUGUCUAAUCAAGGCCAUGUAGGAUUCUAAAGAGAAAUGAUACACUCGGUUUGGUAAGAAUUGCUAAUUAACCAAGUAUGUAAAACCUGUAGCUCCUAUGGCUCAUAGUAUUUCUCCUGUGGUGAAAAUCUAGACAUGACAAGGAACUAACAGUAAAAUAUUAACUUCCAUUUUAGGCAUGUACUUGUAUUUUUUUUUCUAAAAUUCUCCCUCUCCCAAACCUUAAGGAUUCCAACAUUACCUUUAAGAUAAUUAUUUUUUUAAAACAAAAAUAUCAUAGCAAUGUUUUCUGGUAUUGUAAAACCUCUCACCAGGAAAAUAAUGUGCAGAAUAUUUUCAUGUUACACAGGCAUUCUUUAAUCAUGCUUAACCUCGGUUUGUACAAAGUUCUCUUUUUUACAGCCACAAAAGCUUACACUUCAUAUUAGAAAGGUCAAGAGAGAUUAAUUUGGUUCCUUGUACACUUGAAUCAUUAAUUUUGUUCUGGUAACAGAGCAGGCUAUUUAAUCAAACCUAAAGGAAAUAAAAUAAUGAAUGACAAGGGAAGGAGAACAGGGAGAAAUCUCAAAAGGGUUUCUGAAUAUACAGUUCCUGUUGGGAGUGUCAUGCCACUGUGCCCAUUCAUGCAGAGGUGUUCUGAAAAAGCCAGCUCUGCCCAGGGAGUUGGCUUGGUGUACUCAGGCCACCCCCACCUUGUUAUCCCUCUUCCCUGUAUCAGAGGAAAUUUCCCCAACUCAGUUGAUUAAGUCUGGUAAAAAAGGCCAAGGUUGUGCUUUCAGUUACCACAGGGGCCAGUUAGUGUGGCUUUGUUUUAAGUUUCCAAGUGUGCCCGUGUUUCUACCCAACAGGCUUCUACCUGAGAAACCACACUCAAGCAUGGGCUGUAGAUCACAAGAGAAUAAAUGUGACUUUUUUUUUUUUUUUUUUUUUUUUGAGACGGAGUUGUUUCGCUCUUGUUACCCAGGCUGGAGUGCAAUGGCGCGAUCUCGGCUCACUGCAGCCUCUGCCUCCUGGGUUCAGGCAAUUCUCCUGCCUCAGCCUCCUGAGUAGCUGGGAUUAUGGGCACGCGCCACCAUGCCCAGCUAAUUUUUUUGUAAUUUUAGUAGAGACGGAGUUUCACCAUGUUGACCAGGAUGGUCUCGAUCUCUUGACCUCGUGAUCCACCCGCCUCGGCCUCCCAAAGUGCUGGGAUUACAGGCGUGAGCCUCCGCGCCCGACCCGAAUGUGACUUUCUCAGAGUAAAGCUAUCACUAGUGUUGAGGGAGCAUCUAUGCAGAAAUGCUUGCAAUGCAGACCAACGCCCGAGAUUUCUCUGGCACCCUGGGACUUACUUUUCCCAACAUGUUUCUUAUUUUCCUCCACUUUUUAAAAAAGAAAGCAUACUACAGCAGUGUUCUGUUUUGGGGUGUUGUGGGGAAGGCUUGGAUUACAUGGGCAGAAACUUAACAUAGACUGUGCUUAGGAUAGUUUAAUGAAAGCAUUUAAGUGGUUUCAUCAUGAUGUAAUAGCCAGAGCAUAAACGCUACAGUAUCUGUGUACCUGAACGCUGGUUAGACCAACUGGGAGUCAUUAGAGCGGUAUAUUAUAAAUAUGAUGUAACAUUUUAAUAUAACUUAGUAAAGCAAACCGACAAAAUAUGUUACAGCCAAUUACUCAUUUGAUUCUCGAAGCAAACUUGUACGAAAUGAUUUAUGUUUAUUACAAUAUUAUAAAUGAGGAAAUUACAAAUUUUCAUUCUGAAGGAGUUACUGUCAAACUGAGGAAACCCCGAGAUAAACUAUUUUCUGGCAAAGGCUGUUCUCCAAGCAUUUGAACAGGUGCUAAGGAAGAACUGCCUGCUCCAGGCUCAAGUUUAAGGGACACAUUGAUGGAAUUGAUGAGUCCUCAGAAAUUCAAUCUUAAAAAAUUAAGCAUGUCUCUCCAUUAAGGCAUUAUUUAAAAGCUAAAGAGAUAAGCCAGAAAGUAAAAGAAGAUAUUUGUAACCCAUGUAACAGACCAAAGCUGGAAUUAAACAUAUGUAAGGAACUCUUACCAAUAAAAAUGCAAGAUAAAUAUAUCUGAUUAAUAAAUAGAAAAGGCAUAAACAGAAAUUUUAGAGCAAAGGAAGUACAUUACUAUUUAAUAUGUGAAACAUUCAUUUUAGCUUUGGUGGUGAUCAUGUAAAUGCUGAUGAAGAGUACAAAGGGACAUCAUUUUGUACCUAUAUUUUGUACCUAUAUAUUGGCAAAAUCAAGGAGUCUGAGUAAAACACUAAUAUGUUGCUGAUGGGAAUAUUUGCUAGUGUAACUACCUUGGAAAACAAUGUAAAGUAUCUUUUGAAGUCAAACAUUCACCAAACCCAAGCACAUGUGUUUCAGGAGAUUUGACAUGAAUCUUCUUAGCACCACUCGCUGUUCAUAAUAGCAAAAGAUUGGAAAAAACUCAAAUAUCUAUCAACAGAAUAAAUAAACAAACUGUGGUAGUAAACACAUUGAAAUAUCUUCAACGGUAAUAAUGAAUAAACUAUAGCUGUAGACAACAGAGUGGAUGAAGUCUAGAAAUAUUAAUUCAGAAAUAAUAUUGAACAAAAAUAGCAACAUAAAGAGUAGAUACAGUAUAAUACCAUUAUGGUUAAUAUUCAAAACCAUUACAAUUAAUCAGUUUAUUUUCCAAGCACAAUACAUAUAAAUGUAUACUAAACUUGGCAACAUAAAAGCAAACCUAAAAUUCAGAAUAAUGAAUACUUCAGCAGAUGGAAUGGGGAGGGGCAUGUGGAUGCAAAUUAUUUGGUGAUGAAAGUUAAUUGACAACCAUUUUGGAAUCUUAUACAUUGAGUGGGAAGUGAGACUGAAUUACCUCUAAAUUAUUUCUCAAAAUAAGCCAAAAGGCUUUUUUCAAAAAUAAUGAAGUGUCAGUCACUGAUAUUAUUAAUAAUAUUAUUAAGCUUUUGCCACGAUUACAUCUGGUUCUACUUUAGAGCAGUUUAAUAAAUAAACUUGAUCAAAGCAAUGACUCUUGAAUUAAAGCCUUUGGGAUUAAAGUCCUACUGUCUGAUGCUUAUAAGAGACAUAAAAUAAAAUGGCAUGGAAAUAUUCAAAGUAGGCAAACUCAAACAAAAUGAACCAUGAAUCAUAAUAGUACUUGUAAUAUAGUAGAUGUUUAUUGGUAUUAAAGAUAUAAAAUAUAUAAUAAACAUAAUGCAUAAUAAAGAAUACAGAAUAAAUACAUCGUGAAUUCUUCUGCACCAAAUUAAAGAACACUUAAAUAUAUAGAGCAAAAAUGCUUUUUUUUUGUAAAUGCUUGGAAAAAUACAAACAAUAUAAUUAAAACAAAAUACUUAUCUUUACAGAUAUUAAUUUUUUAUAAUGAUUGUACUCUGUGAGGCAGAUUAGUUGCUUUUCCAUGUGGUCACAUGUAGAAAGUAACUACAGUGAAUUUUGAAUGCAAGCCAUCUGGCUCUAAAAUCUUUGCUUUUUUCUUUUGAGACAGAGUUUCACUCUUGUCAUCCAGGCAAGAGUGCAAUGGUACAGUCUUGGCUCACUGCAACCUCUGCCUCCUGAGUUCAAGCGAUUCUCCUGCCUCAGCCUCACGAGUAGCUGGGAUUACAGGCAUGUACCACCAUGCCUGGCUAAUGUUUGUAUUUUUAGUAGAGACAGGGUUUCGCCAUUUUGGCCAGGCUGGUCUCAAACUCCUGAUCUGAGGUGAUCCACCCGCCUCGGCCUCCCAAAAUGCUGGGAUUACAGGCAUAAGCCACCACGCCCAACAAAGUCUUUGCUUUUAAUGAAUGUAAUGUCCCUCAAAGAUCGUAUUUAGAAUAUAUGUACAGUAAGUACAUAUAUAUUUAAUUCUGUUCAUUAUGAACAAAAUUAAAACAUUACAUCUUCUUUACAAACAUCACUGAACUAUUUAAAAAAUGUUCAUAUUCUGCAUUCUGGCUGCUCAACUUAUAGACUCUAUGACUAGCAGCCUGCACCUCCUCUGGGGUCUUGACAGGUAGGCAGCAUCCUCAAUGACUCCAGAUUUCCAGAAUCGGAAUUUGCAUUUUUACAAGAUCUUAGGAGGAUUUAUAUGCACAUUAAAGUCUGAGAAGCAUUUAAAAAAAAUCAGACCUUCAUCAAGUUAUAAAAUAGCUAAGGCACAUCCUUUCAUCACAAAUCAAUUAACAAUGGAAAAUAAUAUGUUAACCAGAAGUAACUUAAAAUUGAAAAACAAUUACUUUGAAAAACUGCUUAAGGAGGACAAGAAUAAACUUUCAGCAUCAGAUUUCUCAUAAGCCAACAACAUGAGAACAAAGCAUAGUCUUGUCAAAUGUGACUAUGCUUUGUUAAAAUUAGUGCUAAAUGGUAAACUUUCGAUGCGUGUUGCCAAAAGGGUAUACAUUGAACUAUAAUUCAAAUAAUUAUUAAACUAUACCCUAAGAAUAGAAGAAAUAGAACACUGUAAAUAUUAAAGCAGGAAACAAUGAGUUAAAAUUAUGAAGAAGUAAAAUGUAAUGGUCCAAAACCUAGCUUUUUGAACAACAAAAAAAUUAUGAAUUUCUGGGAAAUUCAACAAUGUUUUUUAAAAACCUGUAAACAAGCAACAACCAAACAAAUAAAACACUCAGACAAUUAGGAAGAGAAAAGGGACUGAAUCCGACCACUGAAGUGACAUGGACACAAACAAAGGUGACCUAUUCCUUUUGCUUCAGGACCAAAUUCCCUUUACAUUCUUUUCUCUUGCUUCUUGAUAAACAAUUAGGACAUUGAGGAGCUUCUCUGGUCCUUGUUUUCAUCUUCUUAUUGAUUCGAUUAUACAAUAAUGUAGCUAAGGGCACCAUAUUCUUUGGAUAUUCAUUGAAAUGCUGGGAGGUAUUUAUGAAUCUUUAAUGACAUAGUUCUCAGUCAAUUCCCAGUUACUGACAAUGCCCUUUGUGCAGAGUGUAGGGUGAGGCAAAGUGCAGAAGGAGAGCUGGGAGAGAGCACACAGCCCCUGCCUUCAGAGAGCCGACUACCCUGCGACUUUUCUGGCAAGAGCAUCACCUGCCUAACCUUGCCUCUGGUGAAUUGAUUCUGGCUAUAGGAGAAGAACCAGGCAGGGACAAUAGAGGUUCCUAUGGCAAAUGACUCUGUCCAGCAAGGGAUUUCUGGGAGAGCCACAGCCCCUCAUUCCUCAGUUCCAAACUAGAGUGACAGAUAUGGUUAUAUACUGCCAGAGGCUUUGAAGAAUCACAACAUUAAUUUGAUAAUCAAAACAUGCUUAAGGAAGGACACUUGAUUAAACAAGGAAGUUACAAUGAAUACAUGUAUAUACAUAAGUAAAGUCUACUGAAAAAAAAAACAUACCAUCUUAAGAGUGAUUAUGUCUAGGUGACUAUAGUUUUCUUCCAUAUUUUUGAAGUAUUCUAACAUGAAAAAUUUAUAUCUGGAAAAGUUAUCUUAAUAUGAGAUAAUGUUCUGUUAUUUAUUUUUUAUUUAUAUAAAGUGUUUAUUUCUCUUUUGCCUCACAUUCUUGGGACUCUUCUCUAUUUAUAAUAGGCAUGUAUAACCAAACCUGUAACCUCUGGCCUCCGAUGAAACAGGGAGAAUUUAAGAUAAGGGAAUUCCCUUAGCUGAGAAUGUGGAGGUUGGGAGAGGAAUGACAGCAUCACUCAUAGCUGUUCUCACAUGAGCAAAAUGAAGUAAAUGUUGAGAAGACUGUUGGACAAGUUUCAGGACUAUAUAUGGAUGUGAUCUGCAGAUACAAAGACUGGACAGUUGCUCUGGCUGCUGUCUUCUGAGUCACUGAUUCUCAAACCUACCUCCACCUUGGAAUCAAGGUGUGCCAGGGUAUAUCUCAGAUCAAAUAAAUACGAAUCUCCAAGGAAUGGAAACUGGGUCUCUGGAGUUCUUUUAAGCUCUCCAGGUGAUUCUAAUAUGGAUUCAAGAUUGAGAACCAUCAAGGUUUUCUUUGCAUGCAAUAUGGAAAUAAUUAAACCAUAAUCCCCCUAGAUUGGCAAUUGUGCCACCUGGUAGACCCAGUUUAAGAAGUAGCUAUCAGAACAGAAUCACAUAUUACAGCCAUCUGACCUCUUUUGAGGUCAACACAGUUGAACCAUCCCACAGGAAGAUUUGCACUGGGAAGUCAUUGUAUCUGUGUUCCUGAACAUCGUGGUUAUGUUGGAAAAAGUGCAAGCUCUGGAGGCAAACAGACCCAAUCUUCCCAGUGAUUAGCUGGUUCAGAUCCUGUUAGAUGCCCCGCCUCUUACUUCACCCACCACAGAGGCAACCAGAUCUACGGAGGUAGCCAGAUCUGCACAGACCUGGAAAGCCUUCAGCACCUGCAACUCCGACUGGGCUGUACAUCUCCUUGGAACUUAGUCAAUGCUGACCACUGGGGAAAGAGAAACAUGGAGAUGUGACUUCCCCUGCCCAGGCUGUUAUUUUGGGACCUUUCUUAAAGCUCCCCAGAAGGUCCUAUAAGCUCUGCGCAGUGGCCAUCUGGAUGGAGCAUCCUUGUUUUGUUUUUUCUCUUCUUUCUGCUGCACACUGUGGCCUUAGAUCAUUGUCCCUGGACUUACAUUCUCAAUAUGCUAUCUGCAUGCACCACUUCAUUCAUCACAGGCUUUUAUUUCAAGAAAAAAACAGUCUGGAUACUAGCUCUGUCCUGUGUACAGAGUUAUUUUAUUUUUCUGAGACAAUGUUUAGAGCAGAAAUAUGGUAGUAUCUUUUACAUAGUUUCUAAGAAUUAAAUAAAACAAAAAUAAAAUUGAUAGAUGCCUUGUAAUGGCUAGCUGAUUGUGCUAGGUCCAGUAGUAAGAGUUUUGAAAUAGAUGGUUAUUUACUACUCAUUUCAGCUCUAUAAAGAAAGUGUUUUUUUCACCAGUUGUAAACAUAGAAAUUGAGGUAUAAAGAGGUUGACUACAUUUUCCUAAGAUUCUAAUUUACUCAGAGGCAGAGCUAAGAUUUAAGCCGAGCUGUCUGACUCCAGAAGCAGGUGAGAUAUUUUCCCAGAAUGCUGUCUUCCUUUCAUUCUCUACCAUUUCCCAUCUCCUGAAUAAGAGAAAACAAACAAAUAAAAAUAGAGUUAAUUAUCCUCUCAAGAGUACAGUGUCCCAUUUGGCCAGACACAGUUUAAGAUAAAAGCAGGUCAUGUAUGGCCCUGAUAUGUCCUUAAUCUCCCCCGUCCGCUUCUCUGAGUUCAGAUAGGAUGUGGAUGGGCUCGCUCUGCCAGGGAAACAAAAACACCUUCCAUAGAUGGGCCCCAGCAGCUCAUACUUCAUGUGCUAUGGAAGGUCAUAAUAGAGCAGAGGAGUCAACUCACACUCAUUGUCUGCAGUUGCAGAGAUAGUAAUCACAUUUUAAAAGGCUUCCAGAAAAAAAUCUAAUUUUUAGUCAUUUUGGUCUUUUGCAAAAAGUUCCUUUUGUGUGUGUGCAGUGUUUUCCCUAUUCUUUCUCUCCCAACCAUGGCAAUCCCUCAUCUAUUGAUUGAUCAAUUGAUUGAUUGAGACAGGGCCUCCCUUUGUUGUCCAGGCUCUCAAGUGUAAUGUCGCCAUCUUGACCCACUGCAACAUCUGCGUCCCCGCCUCAAGCCUAUAGUCUAGUGGUCCUCCCCACUUUUUGGCACCAGGGACCUGUUUCAUGGAAGACAGUUUUUCCAGGGAGUGGGGUGGGGGUGAUGGUUUUAGAAUAAUUCAACCUCAUUACAUUAUUGUGCACUUUAUUUCUAUUAUUAUUACAUUGUAGUAUAUAAUGAAACAAUUGUACAACUCACCAUAAUGUAGACUCAGAGGGAGUCCUGAGCUAGACAGUUCCAUCUGGGGAUGAUGGGAGACAACAAUAGAUCAUCAGGCAUUAGAUUCUCAUAAGAAGUGUGCAACCUGGAUCCAUCACAUGUGCAGUUCACAAUAGGGUUAUGCUCCUAUGGGGAUCUAAUGCCACCACUAGUCUGACAGGAGGUAGUGCUCAGGUGGUAAUGUGAGUGAUGGGGAGAGGUCAUAAAUACAGAUGAAACUUCACUUGCUCACCUGCAGCUCACUUCCUGCUAUGCAGCAGUGUCCUAACAGACAGGGACCAGUACUGGGGAUUGGGGACCCCUGCUAUAGUCAAUUCAGUCAAGAGUUUCAACAUAGGACAUAAAAUUCACUUUUUUGCUUUUGGGCUAAUCCAACAUAAAUUUGGGGUAACACUAUAUUGUGCUACAAACAAUGUUUUAUUAAUUCAGUAAAUCCAUGGAAUAGAAAUAUUUUUUAUCAAAUUCAGUGUGGUGCAUACAUAGUUCCUAAGCCAUCCCCACACACUACUAGAAUGUAUCAAAAAAUAGAAUCAGUUAUUGUUAGAGCUGAUGAAAUAUAUAAAUAUACGUAUACCCAAAGUAACUUAACUACAAUUUGUGUGUGCGUGUGACAAAGCUGAUGUGGAAGUAAAAAUAAUUAAAAAAAACUUGAGAUAAAGGUAUGUGUUUUUUCUGUUUGCUGCCCCCACACUUGAAUUUUAAAAUGUCUGAGAUUUAGAGAAAUGUAUUUAUGAAUAACCACAAGUGACUGACAAAGAUAGUUACAUUUUCAGAGAAGCUUUGGUUACAUUGUGUUCAAAUCAGUCAAAAAAAUGCUAAUCAAAAUACUCAACAAAUACAGCACCAAAAGCAUUUUUUAGUAACAAAGUGAGCAAGCAGAAAAACAUUGACCUUUAUUCUAUAAAACUAAGUCAAAUAAAUGGUGAGAACUAAAAUAACAUAGAUAAUUUAAUUUUGGAAUUCCAUAAUUGUACUUUGGAAUAUUACGAUUUUGGGAAAGAAUUUUCAUUAUAGUUCUCAUAUACAAUUCGAUACACUCCUAUUCUGUUUCAUAGAAGAAUAAAUAAAGUGGAUUCCCCAACAAUCUGCAGCAAACAAACCCACUUAUGCUAGUUUGUUUCAUGACAAAUUGAGGCAUUCUGAUUCACUGAGACGCAGAUGUGCUACUCUCUACUGUCUACCUUAAUGCAAGUAACCAGUUUUAUGCAUAAACCUACUAUAUUUGCAGGUUAUGUCUCUUUCUUUAGAUUUAAGUUUUUGUUUGCUCAUUUGUUUUGGCAGACCCUAUUUAGGGAGGUAGUACAAACCAACUGAAAGGACCAAGGACUAAAAAACUUUUGUAAUCUUUAACAAACUCUCAGUGUUCUCAUUUAUAAAAUGAGAAUUAAUUAAACUCACUUAUACACAUAGUGAUUAUAUAUAUAUAUAUAUACACACCAGAAAAGGCUUUGUUAAAAUGCAGUUAACAUCUGAAUUGACUCUUGAAUGUUGCGUUGGAUUUUGUCAGAAAAAUAAGAAGGGGAGUUUUUCCAAGAUGAUGGAAAAGCAGAUAGAAGCCUGGCUAUGCAAAAAUAUUAUAGGGUCUCGUGUGCUCUAAAAUCACAUAUAAGAUUAAAGAAUUCUUCAUUGCAUUAGUGAUUUAGAUGAAGAAAUGCCUUGAUGUACAACACCGACCUAUUUUUAGGGAGUUGGAAUUGUAGGAGUACAAUGUUACAGCUUCCCAUCGUUUAUCUUGAUUUCAAUGAAAAGAUAUGGCAUCAAUUGAAGAACAAACUAGCUAAACACUGGUUGAAUUCUGUAACUAUAUAAAAUGCGACUGAUCACCUUUCAAGGUCACAGCCCCACCUCAGCUAAUCAUUUGACCUGCACAUGUACCCCAGAACCUAAAAUAAAAUUUAAAAAAAAUACAAUGAAUGUUUUUCUCUCUCUCAAUAUAUAUAGAUGAUAUAUAGAUAAAAGGGGAGUUUAUUAAGUAUUAACUUACAUGAUCACAAGGUCCCACAAUAGGGUGUCUGCAAACUGAGGAGAAAGGAGAACCAGUCCAUGUCUCAAAACUGAAGAACUUGGGAGUCCGAUAUUCAAGGGCAGGAAGCAUCCAGCAUGGAAGAAAGAUGUAGUAGGCUUGGAGGAUAGGCCUAUCUCUUUCUUUCACAUUUUUCUGCCUGCUUCAUAUUUCAGUGAAAGCUGAUUAAAUUGUGCCUACCAGAUUAAGAGUGGAUCUGCCUUCCCCAGCCCCCUGACUCAAAUUUUAAUCUCUUUUGGUUACACCCACACAGACACACCCAGGUUCAAUACUUUGCAUCCCUCAAUCCAAUCAAGUUGACACUUAGUAUUAACCAACACAGCAAUCUUCUGUUAAAGCCUGCUGCAUAUCACUCAUUGAAUGCAUGGGGGCUCAAAGACCAGGGAGAAAGUCUGAUGGGGCAACCAGACUAUAACAGCAAUGUAAUCACUGGUGUGACAAAAAUUGGUUUAAAAAACUGCAGGAGGAAAGAAAAGACUUCAUUAAAAUACAGUUAACAUCCAAAUUGACUCUUGAAUGUUGAGUUGGAUUUUGUCAGAAAAAUAAGAAGGGAAGUGUCUUCAGGAAGACGAAAAAGCAAAUAGAAGCCUGGAUAUGCAAAAAUAUUAUAGGGUCUCGUGUGCCCUAAAAUUACAUAGAAAAUUAAAGUAUUCUUCAUUAUGUUAGUGAGUUAGAUGAAGAAGUACCUUGAUGUACAACACCGACCUAUUUUUAGGGAGUUGGAAUUGUAGGAGUACAAUGUUAUUGCAAAGACUCUUCCCAUCGCUUAUCCCAAUUUCAGUAAAAAGGUAUGGCAUCAAGUCCACUGAAGAAGGGACAUGAGCUAAACACUGGUUGAAUUCCAUAACUGUGCAGGUGCUAUAUAAAAUGCAACUGGUCACCUUUCAAGGUCAUGGUGCCAACUCCACUAAUCAUUUAAAAAUAGAAUGAGUCAGGAAUUGCUCAGUCUUGCUUGGAGUGGAGGAGAAACUAGGCAGCCUCCUGAGAUUCUUACCAAUUAUAUGCUCCCAAGCUAAGAGACAACAUGGAAAUUCAUGAAGAUUUAGAUAAGCUCAUGCUGUCAAAAUAUUUUCAUGAAACAGCCUUUACCAGUUUUCUUUCUUUCCCCUUUAAUGUAUCUCUGUUACCUCUGGAACACAUAAACACAUCCCUCUGCUUUAUAUAUCAUUGAGAGCUUCUUCCAGCCUAGUCACAACGCCAUUCUAUUCCUAACACCUUACUCCAGUCAAACUAAUUUACAUUUACCUCCCCUUUUAUGUGUUUGCCUUCAUACCAAUCUCCCCAGUCCAGAUGAAUUUCCCUUUCCCUUUCUUCUUAAACCUCUUUCGGACCCUACUUCAGUCCAGUUUGUGUGUGUGUGUGUGUGUGUGUGUGUGUGUGUGUGUGUUACAUCAGUUAAACAAAUAUAGUAUUUCUGAUCCACUUUUAGUAACAUAUUGCACUGUGUCAAAUAGUGCUUCUUUUGCACACAGCUAGUUCUCCCCAGAAUGUAUAUUACUACACACGUGUUGUUUUUCAUUUUUUAUUGAUUUUCUUUCCCUCAGCUAUGGAAUAUAACCAGGAUUGGAUAAUUCACCACUUAGGGAGUGUGGCAACAUUUUGCAUUUUUAGUAUUUGUUUGUUCACUUAGUACUUUUAAAUCCUGAAUUAUUUACAUGCCAAGGGGAUUACCCUGCAUAAAUAUUACAACACUGACAAUAGGGUCUUAGCUUUUCUCAUAAUCAUUCCUUUUGGCAGGAGGUGGGAUAAAGCUUAUACCUUAAAGAGCCACUGUGGUUUUUAAAAGGUCACAUUUGGCCAGCCAUAAUUUAUUCCGUGUGUCUUUCAGUAACUGACAGGAGUGAUUCAGUUGACAGAACUCGAUUGUUUCUUCCCAUAAAAGAUUUCACAGAUCUUCAUAAGGAGGUAUAAUUUCCAAACUGCACAAACCUGGAUGAAGAGAAAAAUCAAUAUGAUGGAUUGAAAAAUGAAAAAGUAACAAAUUUGAGAAGCUAAACCAGCUUCUUAGAGAACAAAAGAAAAUAUACACCUGAUUUUCAGCAGAAAUAACCGUUUGAAAAAUGUUUGCUUUUCCCCUCCUCAUAUCUGUGAAUUAAUAACUUUAAGAAGUAGAAAUACAAUUAAUAAGGCACUUAGGGAUUAUGCAAUAUUGAAAAACCUUAAUUUUUUUAUACAUGUUUGAGCUAACAUAAAUAUUUUAAGAAAGAAAAUAAACGCACUGGACAAGUAAAAUAACCUUUUUUCCCCUGUAAUAAAAAUAGCAAAAAACAACAAACAACUAUUCCCUGAAAUAUGAAAAUACUUUGGCAACAUUUUUUGUAGUUGAUUUUUUGUUACAUUAUCUAAGACGUGAUCUAGGAUCUCUAAGGCAUAUAAAGAAGACUGCUUGUUAGAGCACAGGAGCUUUUGUAAACCGUUUUUAGAGGUUUAGAACAAUCCAUAUUUUGACCAUUUUUCUGGUUUUGAAAAUGUGGCGAUAUUUAUACCGAGUUCAUAUAUUAUGAAAUGUGAGGAUUAUAUCCAUGAUUUCAGAAAAUCAUAUAUUAUUUCAUUUUAUGUUCCCAAGGACUGAGAUUGUCUUUUAAAAUGGAAAUAAAGUAUCAAUAUGGAAAACUUUCAUAUUCUAAUUACACAAAUGGCCAAAAUUUUACAAACUGAAUAUACAUUUGUAACCAGCACCCAUUCAGGGAACGAAUGAAGUUACUUUCCCCUUCAGGGAAAGGACAUAAUCAGUGUCAUAGCUUCAAAGUGUUCAAAUGUUUGAAUCCUAAAGCCUCAGUGUGACUCGGGAGUCUUCUACUUCAGGGCCCUCAACAGGAGGUAAACAGGAAAUGGAGAAUAAAUGUAUUGACUCUGGUGAAUUGGCAUAUUUAACGACAUAAACCACAUUUUUCUUUAGACACCAUAAUGAAAAUUUAAAAUUCUCAGUUUUUCAUGCAUCAUUAUUCAAAGCCAUUGUGGAAUUGUUUUCAACACAGUGUCUCUAAAUAAUAGAACCCAUACCCAUAUAAAAAGCUUGUUCUACAAUGAUAAUCUGUUGUAAUUAUAUUGAUCUCUGAUUUUCAUUUAUGAAUGCUAAAGAAAUUAACAUUACUGGGUUUUGCAGAUGAAGGACCAGAACUGAUUCUUAGUGCCAAGUAUGGUUUUGACUGUGUUUCUGGAUGCUGUGAGUUUCAUAUUAAACCUCUGAGGGUCCUUAACCUCCUCCUGCUAAUUCCAAAACCCCUCAGGAGUCCAGAAGCUCUAUUUGCUAAUCAGUCCCAUUUGUUUGUCAGAUAAAUUAGUUUGUACCUAAUCUGGGAGACAAAGGUGGUUUACUUAAGGUUGUCCUCUCUGCUAUCCUUUUCCUUCAACUGGAAGGACAUGGCUGCUACUCUCCUUCCUAGAAAUCAUCUCUCCUUCGCAGUCAGACCAGGAACACCUGUGUCAAACUCUUUCCGCACAAGUCGCUUCCAGCUCCACCUCCACAGUGCACACAGAUUCCCUCUGAUCUCUCUCUAGUAACAGACCAUUUUUUCAUUCCUGGUUUCCCAAAUGUUUUGAAACUGACAUUCAAUUUGAAGACUAUACGGUGAUGAUGAUGGUGGUGAUUAUAUCAUUUUAUAACCAACACUUUCUUAUGUGUUUCCUGGACAUCCACUUUAGGCCCUAUUUGCCUGGGUGUCACCAGUGGAGUCCGCAGAAUAGCAAAGAUUGCUGCCUGUUCCUUUCUCUGGACCUAGGGGCACCCACCAGAUGCCAGCCAGAGCUCUCAUGUAUGAGGUGUCAUUCGACCCCUGCUGGGAGGUGUCUCCUAGUCAGGAGGCACAGAGGUCAGGGACCCACUUGAGGAGGCAGUCUGUCCCUUAGUAGAGCUCAAGUACUGUGCUGGGAGCCCAAGGGGUCUGGGAACUCCCUCGUUUAGCCAAGGGAGGCUGUGAGGGACUGUGCCAUGAGGAAUGGUGCUAUCUGACCCAGAUACUAUGCUUUUUCCAUGGUCUUCUCAACCUGUAGACCAGGAGAUUCCCUUGGGUGCCUAUGCAACCAGGACCCUGGGUUUCAAGCAAAAAACUGGGCAGCCAUUUGGGCAGACACCUAGCUAGCUGCAGGAGCUUUUUUCAUGCCCCAAUGGCACCUGGAACUCCAGUGAGACAGAAUUGUUCACUACCGUGGAAAGGGGGCUGAAGCCAGGAAGCCAAGUAGUCUAGCUCAGCAGAUCCCACCCCUAUGAAGCACAGCAAGCUAAGAUCCACUGGCUUGAAAUUCUUGCUGCCAGCACAGCAGUCUAAAGUUGACCUGGGAUGCUCGAGCUAGGUAACAUGUAAUUUUAUUGGCCAUAUUUUUAAUUUAAGUUGUUGUGAUUACAAGUUGAAUUGUAGAGAAUGAGUAGAAUACUAGAAAACUAGGAAAAAGGGGUUUUCUUUUAGAAAACUAGGAAAAGACAAAGAAGUCUGUUGACGACAGGUAAUAGGCUUCAGCUGAGCACUUGACCCAAGCUGAACCAAUUAGAACCCUUCCUUGGGAUUUUUGAAGGAAAUGGUAUCUCUUGGCUACAUUGUAAGCAAAUGUCUGGAAUAGGUAACAACCAGAUCCUCUGUCAUCUGUAUCAAGCCAGUCUGACAAGAAAAAGUAAAUCCACCAACCCACAGAGCAAAGCACAGAUAAGGAUGGACAACAAACACCCUGCCUGCCGUCCACAUAUUCCUGAGGACCAGUUAUGCUUGUUUCUACUAUCAUUUGAUUAUGUGAAAAAAAUUCACAAUUAAUAAAAGUCCUGUUUUUAAUAGGAAAAAUUUUUUUUUAACAAUUUCCUGGUAGAACAACCAGUAAUAAGUGCCAAAGCCUUUAAGAUAGAAUUUUAUUUCUCAAAAUUAAUUCUAUAGGAUAUCAGAUAGUCUCAGAAACAGGAAUAUAUGGAGAUUUUCCUCACGAAUUUAUUUAUAGUAGCAAAAAUCAAGAAAUAUCCUAGAGGAUAUAGGUCAUUGUAUAACACAUGAUGUAUUUAUAAAUUAUAAUUUUGUAAAAUAAUUAAUGUGUUUGAUGAAAAAUGAAUUAUGUGAAAAUGCAUAUAAUAUAAUGCCAUGUUAAAAUUUUAAAAAUACACAGAGGCCAGGUGUAUGGCUCAUGCCUAUAAUCCCAACACUUUGGUAGGCCAAGGCAAUAGGUUUGUUUGGACCCAGGAGUUUGAAAGCAGCCUAGGAAACAUAGCAAGAUCCUAUCUCUAUAAAGUAUGUAUUUUUUAAAAUUAGCCAGGCAUGGCGGUGCAUGCCUAUAGUCCCAGAUACUCAGGAGGCUGAGGUGAUUGGAUCACUUGAGCUCAGGAGGUCAAGGCUGCAGACUCUGUCUCAAAUAAGUAAAUAAGUAAACUAAAAAACAAACAUAAAAUUAUUUCACCAUAAAAGUACUAUAUUCCCAUAGUUAAAAAAAAUACAAACAUAUAGAAAGGAAUCACAUGACAUAAAAGUUUUCUUCUAGCUCUUUCUUUCCAAUUCACUCCCCAGAAAUAGCCACUGUUCAGUUUCUGUGAUGUAUUUGGUAAUAUCUCUAUCUUUUUAAUAAUGCAGGUCCACCUGUGCAUUUUGGUUUGCUGUGAAAUCUUGGGGAGCUUGGAGUACUUUCCCCAUCACCCAGUUCUUCUGUAUCUCUCAACUUCGGGAGAUCAGAGAGAGAGAGAGAGAGAGAAGAACAGGAAGAACGAAGAAAGAAGACAAAAGAAAGAGAGAAGUAGAAAGAAUUCAAGAACGAUUUUGUGCAUGUGUGGAAGUAUUGGUUUUUCCUGACACAAAGGAGAGUGCUUUGUCAUUGUUUUCUUUAUAACAUUGAUGGAUUUCUUGUUGAGUGGGUAUUGGGCUUUAGUUAAACAUGACAGAAGCAGAGAUUUAUAGAUAGCUGUCUCAGAGGCUGUUUGAAAGGCCACAUAAUGUCUCAGGGCACAAAUGUGUUUUCAGUGUUCACUUCUGGUAAACAACCAACAAUUUCAUACACUCCACCCCUUGGCCCUGAUUAGAGCACUUUCCUUGAAAAAUGAAGUAGACCCUUGAUGAAAUCCGAAGCUAGGGCAGAAGAGAAGGUAGGAAGUGGGUUUGGUUUUUGUUGUUUUGUUUUCUGUUUUUUGUUUGUUUUCUUAUUUCAACUUAAACAUUCACAGGAAGAACUGUGAUAUACAUGUUGUCCUAUGUUUUGUAUUCUAUAGAAAGACAAUAUUCUGGAUGAUGAAUUGUGUUCUAAAGACCAUUAAUUUCCUCCUUAUAACUGAUAGCUCUAGAGAAAUUCUACCUAUCUGUGCAUAUAUAUGUGUGUGUGUGUAUAUAUACAUAUAUAUGUGUGUGUGUGUAUAUAUAUACAUAUAUAUGUGUGUGUGUGUAUAUAUACAUAUAUAUGUGUGUGUGUGUGUGUAUACAUAUAUACACACACACACACAUACACAUAUUAUAUAUAUAUGAAAUAUGUGUAUAAUGUUUCUUGGUGAGAGCAAAAAUGUAAAAAUUAGGAGUUAGACACAAACAUAUCACUGGAUGCUUCUCUCUUCCUCUCUGUCUCUUAUUCUCUCAGUCUCAUGCAUGGAUUGUACAAUCAGUUAUAGUAUUCUUUUUAACUCAAAACACAUCAAAAGCUUUUAUCAUGUUAUUAUAAAUCAUGUAGUUCCUGUGCCAAAAUGUUCUUAGUCCUCUGAUUUCAGAUUCCCUGUGUUUUCAGUGCUUCACAACUUUUUAUAGUACAGAAAUCAGGAUUUUUUUCCAUAAAACCUUUUUUCUGCAUUUAGUAUUAUUUCCUUAGUCAAGAUCCUAUUAAGUGAACUAAGUUGGUAUGAACAUUUUCAGGACUUAUUAUUCAUAUUGACAAGUGGCUUUUCAAAAAUCUUUUAUCAAUUUAUAUUCCUACAAGAGUCACUUUUCCAUACCCUCACCAGCAGAGGAAACUUUCAGCUUUUAAAAAUAUUUUGCUAAUUAUUUUUAAAUGUUUAAAAUUAACUAGUAAGGCUGAACAAACCCAUUUUAUUAACUAUUUAAAAAAUAGUUUGCCUCCUAAAUCUUAAUAAAAUCUUAGUGUUUCUUUUUUAUGACAAAUUUUAUAUAUCAAAGGUACUGUCACAGUAUCCUCAAAUAUUUAUUUGCCAGAUUGCAUUUGCCUUUAGGUUUGUAUUAUUUUUCAAAGGCUUUGUUCAUUUGCAUCUUUAUUAAGAUCAAGCAGAAGGAGAAAUCUUAGUAGUAUAUUUUGAAAAUGUAGUGAGAGUCCUUAUCAAGAAACAGGAAGUGAAAAGAGUUCAACAAUAGCCAAAUAAAUGGUAGGGGCAGACAAGUGUCCUCUUUGUUUAGAUAAAGAGGCAAACCCCAGCAAAAGAGCACUUUCGGCCCGGUGUGGGGUGGCUCAAGCCUGUAAUCCCAGCACUUUGGGAGGCCGAGGUGGGUGGAUUAUAAGGUCAAGAGAUCGAGACCAUCCUGGUCAACAUGGUGAAACCCCGUCUCUACUAAAAAACUAUAAACAAUUAGCUGGGCAUUGUGGCACGUGCCUGUAGUCCCAGCUACUCAGGUGGCUGAGGCAGGAGAAUUGCCUGAACCCAGGAGGCGGAGGUUGUGGUGAGCCAAGAUUGCGCCAUUGCACUCCAGCCUGGGUAAUAAGAGCGAAACUCCGUUUCAAAAAAAAAAAAAAAAAAAAAGAGCACUUUCAAACUCAAAGUAUAAGUUUUAGAUCCUGCAGUAUACCUUUGCAGGUUCUUAAGUUUACCAACCUGUCAAGGGCAAAUAGAACUAAAAUUUUUAUGCUGUCGUGUAAUAGUGUACUACUUUCCCUUGGUGUCCUUGGUGGGGAAAGGAAAUAAAAGUUGUAUUUUUCCCAUGUGGUACUGACUAGGAGUGAGGGAAAAGGGGGAAAGGGAGACUCUCCAGAGGGGAACAACGACCUUGCUGCCUCCCAAAGUGAGUUUCUUCUCUUCACCUGAGCUUGUCAGGAGGCAUCUCAUCACCAGCUCAGCUGGCAGGGAAAGGCAGGGACGUGGUGAACCAUGCUAAGUAGGAAUGCCUUUCCACACUGUGGUCAUUCAGAUUACAGCACAUUUACCAUGUCUGGAAACCCGAUGGUAGCAGAAACAGUAACUAGUGUUCAAAAGAACAGUCUCCCGAAAACAUCAGGGCUGUGUCAGAAUUAACUAUUUUUCUAUUCAUUUCUGUAAAAGCAUAUGUCCAGUUUAGAUAGUUAAAAUAGAAACAGCUAACAAGUUACUUAGAUAAGAUAGUUUUAUAAAGGUGUCCAGAAUUAAAGGGAAGAACUGGAACCAUUUGGGCCCCAUAGAAUUACCUGAUGGUUCAUUUAACAGCCAUGAGUCAAAAACGACUAUUAUGUACCGUCUAUACCAUCUACACUGUGCUUGGCUCUAAGGAUAUAAGGACAAAGAAACGUCUGGUUUUGACUUUUCAUUGUUCAUUAGCAGCCAGGACAGUCAUAGGAUGAUAAAAAUGGUUUUAAAAAUUAAUCUGUUUUGAACGCUCUCUCUUCUUAACACCCAGAUUCUUAUUUUUGUAUUAGAUGUAAAGAUUUAGUAGAAAAAUAAUUUGAAGUUCACAGAAACCAUCUGGAAGCAUCUCAUAAAAGUGAAUGAUAUUGUUUGGCUCUGUGUCCCCACCCAGAUACCAUCUUGAAUUGCAGCUCUCAUAAUUCCCAGAUGUUGUGGGAGGGACUGGGUGGGAGAUAAUUGAACCAUUGAGGCAGGUUCCCCCAUACUGUUCUCAUGGUAGUGAAUAAGUCUCACAGGAUCUGACAGUGAUAUAAGGGGUUUCCACUUUCCCUUCUCUCUCAUUCUUUCUUGGUGCUUCCACUUAAGAAGUGCCUUUUGCCUUCCCCCAUGAUUAUGAGGCCUCCCAGCCAUGUAGAACUGUGAGUCCAUUAAACCUCUUUAUCUUCCCAGUUGGGUAUAUCUUUAUCAGUAGCAUGAAAACAGACUAUAGCCGGGCGCGGUGGCUCAUGCCUGUAAUCCCAGCACAUUGAGGGGCCGAGGCGGGUGGAUCACGAGGGCAAGAGAUCAAGACCAUCCUGGUCAACAUGGUGAAACCCCGUCUCUACUGAAAAUACAAAAAAUUAGCUGGGUACGGUGGCCCGUGCCUAUGAUCCCAGCUACUCAGGAGGCUGAGGGAGGAUAAUUGCCUGAACCCAGGAGGCGGAGGUUGCGGUGAGCCGAGAUCGCACCAUUGCACUCCAGCCUGGGUAACAAGAGCGAAACUCUGUCCCCCCCCAAAAAAAUGAAAAGAAAAAAAAAACAAACUUUCUUACAGUGCAUUUUCAGCAUGCCUACUUUAAAAGAAAUGGUUAAUAUGUACCAAAUUUUCAUUAGCAUGACCAAUGCCCACCAAUGUCACUCUAAGUCUAAACCACUGAAGUAUGCAUGGAUGGCCAAAAUGUUCUGACCUAGCCUGAAAAGCUAGGACACCACAUAGCAGGUACUGUAGAUUCAUCAUGUUCAACACACUCUGGACUUCUAGCCUGAUUGACACUGGCUUUCUGAGUGCUUCUUGACAGCAAUAUGUUGUCGAUAGGAUUUACAUCAAAUGUUAUUUAUUUUCUAUUAAGUAACAAUAGUAUAAAUAGACUAAACUCUUGGUUGAGAAUUUGAAAAAGAAAAGGAAAUUUUAGAUUAGCCAUAGGAGGAAGAAAGAAGAAAGUCUUUGAGGAUUGAUUAUUUGGAUACCUAGUUUAGCACAAUGGUCAUUUUAUUACGAAUCUAUUAACUCCUAAAUACUAACACAGUUUAGCUCAAUGAUUAAGGUGAAGGUCUUUAGAACAUGGCAGGAAUUUGUCUGAAUUCCGGCACUCACUGGGAACUUGUUCUGCAGUCUUCAGUAAGCUGGUUGGCCUCCCAAAACCUUCACUUCUCCUAAGGAAAAUAGGAAUAGUAAUGCCUAUUUCAUAGGGUUAUAUUGAGGAUUAAUGAAUACAUUAUUUUAAAAACAUUUUUUUUAAAUGCCAGAUUCAACAACCCUUUGCUUAUUUUCUAUAAUUACUUUAAAGAUAUUAAGUAGUGGUUGACCUUAGCUUUAAGCAGGCCUGGGCCAUUUGUGAAUUUCUGGUUGUCUCUCAGCUGUAACAAACUCUAUCUGCUUUUGAAGAUCCAGGGUCUUCCACAGCCAAGAGAUAGAAUAAAUAUCUCUUGGGGAAGAGGUGGUCAUUUCUUGGCCUCAAACUCCUUGACUUGAACACCGAUCUCUCCCUCUGGUAUAAGGACCCAGGACCUCUUCUCAUCUUGCUCACCUCCUGGAUCCAGAUCUCUGAUUUAUUUUGGAUCUCACGUCCACUGGAACUCUAAUCUCAGCCAGCUGGCCCCAUUCCCAGUUGCAGCCUGGCAAACUCUGCCCUUCUGCUCCCCGGGUAUUACCUGCACCUUCUUCAUGAGUCUGAUGUUCCAUGAGAAGUUACUUAGAUAAGCUAGGUGGAUAGACCACCAGGUUUUUGUUUCCAAGGUUUAAGAAAGAAUAUACAUGAUUGCUCAACAGAUAAUAAGUUGCAUUGGAACUAAUGAUUUUAACAGUAGGCUUUUAAAGUAAAGACAUUGUGGCUAAAUAAACUCUAGACCAUGAGACAAAAGACCUAUAUCUGCAUUCGCUGUAAAUUUAACACAGAGCAGUGAAAGUUAACAGAUCUCCAUCACAUCUAAUGUCUCCUGUCACCAAAACAGGAGUUUUAUCCAGUAAGGUCCCUGGCACAUAGUAAAUACAUGCUAAGUAUUUGUUGAAUUUAUACAUAAAUGACAGCAAGAGAUGAAAAGAUGGUACAAUUCAGUAUUACUGUUAUUCCAAGUUCUUCUCUGGGUCAUCAUCUUUAUCUUUUCAUUAGGGAGUGGUUUUUUUUUUUUUUUUUUUUUUGAGACGGAGUUUCGCUCUUGUUACCCAGGCUGGAGUGCAAUGGCGCAAUCUCGGCUCACCGCAACCUCCGCCCCCUGGGUUCAGGCAAUUCUCCUGCCUCAGCCUCCCGAGUAGCUGGGAUUACAGGCACGCGCCACCAUGCCCAGCUAAUUUUUUGUAAUUUUUAGUAGAGACGGGGUUUCACCAUGUUGACCAGGAUGGUCUCGAUCUGUUGACCUUGUGAUCCACCCGCCUCGGCCUCCCAAAGUGCUGGGAUUACAGGCUUGAGCCACCGCGCCCGGCCAGGGAGUGGUUUUAUGGCUUCUCCUGUUAAACUUUAAUACUGUACAACCCCUCUUGCUCGUAGAAAGCCCUAACAGAGAAAAUGUAAAGUUUCUAAAGGAAAGUGUGCCAAUUAAUUUUAUUUUUUCCUCUUGCUAUCUUUACAACUGUAUUUUCCUUUGGUAUUGAAGAUAAAAGAUUUUAUUUUGAAUUUCAAAAGUUUUAUACAUAUAUUGAUAUAUGCCUAUAUAUGUGUAGGUAUUUAUGGUUUUAAGUAAAUAGAAUGCUUUCAUUUUUCCUUUUGAGUUGUCUAAGAGGACAACUCUAUGUGUUUUUACUCAAAGUCAUGUAACUUGGGGGACAGUAGGAGAGAGGGACCCAGCAACUCAAGCUUCUGAUCAUGUGACAGUAAGCAGAACAUGCUCUCUAGGGCCACGCUGAGCAUGUUAAGGUAAGUUUGCUUCUUUGUGAAUAAAGGGUCAGAUAAAAUAGGGUUCAUGCCUGAGGAGCACAACGGUUGGCCAGGCUGACAGUUGAGAAGAGCUGGGUCUUUGCAGAUCAUUUGAGAGCAUCUCAGGAGUUAUUCAGGGCAACAGAGCCCGGCUCAUGAGUACAGCCCCUCAUCUGGUUGGCCGGUCAGUUUUCAUACACUCUAGAUGCUUUUCAGCUCACCGAAUUGUGUCCUGUCAACCCAAAGCCACUUUUUGAUCUUAACUUUUUACCAUCAAAAUAUGAUGACUUGUCUAAUGUCUAGAUGGUAGCACAAUGAAUGGUAGUAUAAGAAAAGAGUCCUUUUCCUUCCUGACGUGUAUCCUACAGGUGGACUUUUACAUUAUGGUAUCCUUCAUCUUUUGCUGUGUAACAAGCCUUCACAAAACUUAGUGGCUUGAAAAAGCAUUUUUCUCACAAAUAUACAACUUGAGCAAGGCUUGGGAUGAAAGCGGUGGCUAAUCUGCUCCCUCUGGCAUCUGUUGGGGUAUCCCGCUAGGGCUUGGAGGGUUUGCUUUCAAGGCGAAUCACUCACAGAACUGGCAUGUGGAUGCUGGGGUUCAGAUGGGGGCUCAACCGGUGCUGUGAUUUUUUUCCAAGUGGGCUUCUCCAUGGGGGGCAUGGGAUUCCUCACAACAUGGCAGCUGUGUUCUAAAAGAGUAAGUCCUGAAAAAGCAAGUCGGAGUGCUUGGCCUUUAUGAUCCAAACUCAGAAGUCACAUUGUCUCUCUCAACUAGUGAAGGCAGUAAGAAGUUUAAGAGAAGGGGACAUUGGCCAGUACAGUGGCUCAGGCCUGUAAUCCCAGCAGUGUGGGAGGCCAAGAUGGAGGAACCCUCGAGCCCAAGAGUUCAAGACUAGGCAACAUAGCAAGACCCUGUCCUUAACAACAACAACAACAAUUAGCCAGACAUGGUAGUGUGCAUCUGUGGUCCCAGCUAUCUGAGAGACUGAGAUGGAAAAAUCACUUAAGCUUGAGAAAUAAAGGCUUCAGUGAGCCAUGAUGGCGUCAUGGUACCCUACCCGAUACUGGGAGACAGGGCAAAACCCUGUCUCAAACCAACAACCACAAAAACAGUAAGAAAAGAGGUCACAGAUUCUAAUUCUCAACUGCAGAGUGACAGGUUUCUAGAGGUACUUGCGGGAUAGGAGAUACUGCUGUGAGCAUCUAGAGAAAAUACUAUUGUCGCAAUAACUAUUGUGAUGUACAUUUAGAAGAGCUCAUGAAAAAACAUUCCUGGCUUCUGUACUACUGGAAUCAGCAGCUGAAGCUGGCCGCCUCAUACUAAAACAGGGAGACAUUGGUUAGGGUGGUUCAGAACCUUCCCUCUCAGGUAUUCUUGGUCUCAAAAAAAAAAAAAGAAAGAAAGAAAGAAAAGAAAAGAAAAUGAUAGGAAGAAUGUUUUCUGCAAGUGUUAGAUAGUAGUGGCUUUGAAAACAUAAACGCUAGCCUUCAGCCGGCCCCCAGGGUAUGUUUACAAGACUGGGCAAGUCUACCUAAGGCCACAUGAAAAGUUAUGCUUAAGCAAUUUCUCCAGUUUAAAAUAAAGAGAGAGUUUUGAACGUUUGUGACAUAUGGCCGUUCAGUGUUCUCUUGAGAAGAUUUUUAAUUUUCUCUUGUCAAACAAUUACAUUUGAGUAGUUCAGCUCAGAAUGAAAUAUGCAGAAUUUAAAGAGGGUUUUGCAUCAUUCAUACUGUCUCGGUGUUAUUAAUGUCAGGAAAUGAGGCCUGCAUUAGUCUGUAUCAGUCAGAGCUCUUAAUUGCUAGCAAAAGAUACCAUCAGUGGCUGCUUUAAACAUUGGAGGGAUUCCUUGACAGAAUGUUGAGUAAUUCACAGAAUUUCUGAGAAGGCUGUCGAAUCCAGCUUAGGAAACAGUAAAAGAGAGGCUGGACAAGAGUGAGGAGCACAGCUUCUGUCACCCUUGAAACUAGGGUGGUAAGGACGCUGAUGCCAUCUCCACUGAGUGGAGGAGGCCAUUGCAACCACACACUGCAGUCGGUUACCAGCCUCAUUACAAAUGUUGGUCCUAGAAAACUGGAUUUUGCCAUCACCAUAAUCACCACCACCACAGUAGAUUCUCCCCAGUCCCUGGAUUACUAGCUCUGGGUCCAGAGUUUUGGGCCGAUCCAUUUCAUUUGUGAAGUCUAGGCUCUGGGAGAAAAGCUGAUAAAGCAAGCAUCUAGCCUUUUCAGGUUCUUUUAGAGUGAGGCAUGCUCUCUUUUAUGCAGAUCUUGCAAUGGGGAUUUCCUAAAUAAAGAAAGGUAAACAGAAAAGGCAGAUUAUAAAGUUAUCACGCUAAUAGUUUUUCAGGUAACUUUUUCUUGCUGUUUACUAAGGUAAAUUAUAGCCGUUUAUUGAGGGGUGCUACAGGAAAAUUUCUCAGGCAGGCAUGUCUAUAAUACUCCCACUUUUCUUAGUGUUAAUAUAAUAUAUUCUCAGAGCUCUGCAGCAUAAAUUGAAACUGAAGUGCCAGGAAGCAUGAAAAAUAGCAGACUGACAAUAUACUGUGUCAGUGCUUACAAUUAUGGGCUUUUAAUAUCUGGAUCAUUCAACUACUGCAUCGAUGAUGUAUCAAGCCUGGGAGUGGUGUGGCUCUGUGGGCUGGAAGGCUUUACUGCUUCCCCAGAUCUCAGUCCACGACAUUGAUGGGAAUAGUUCCGGGAAGACAGCCCACAGGCAAUUGGGCCCCACCAAUCUUAUAGGACAGAGUCCUGAUAACUAUUAGGCAGGAUGUCUGUGGCACCCUGUUGAGUUAUUCCCAGUAAUAUAUUAUAGAAACAUUAUAAAAACCAAUUUUUAGGAAAUUCUGCAUUUCCUUUAAAAGCAGAUCCAUCUCAAAUGACUAUUCUUGUUUAGAGAGGUGACCAGAUGUAUAAAACUAGACGUUUCCAAUUUAGUAUGUGUUUUAGAAGCCAGAGGAUAUUUUCAAGUUUCUUACUUCACUUUUCUCAUCUUAAAACUGAUCUUACAAUUACAACCCAGAGGUUCCCUGCAAAUUUAAAAUAUUCAUUCAAUUAAUAAUCUUGAAUCUAAUAAAUUGACAAAAGGCAUAAAAAGGAUUUUUAAAAAUGUAAAGAAAAUACUGAUUCAAGUAACUCGACCUCAAAUUAAAACAUGCAAAAGUGCAGGGCUGGUUCUGCUGACUGGGUGUAAUGUAUGUAUUCUCGGUGUUUCAUGAGUACCAUAGAAAACUUGAAACAGAGUUCAGCUUCCUAUCCAAUUUGCAUUCAGUUAUGAUAUGGUCCCCUUUUCCAGACCCCAUCUGGAUAUUCUUUAGUGUUCAACCAUCAGUGCUUCACCGUUGAAGAGAUAUUGCAUCUUUUAAAUAUCACAAUAGACAAGAAGAUAUAAAUGAGAGUUAAUAAUCGUCAAAUGUGCCUAUUUCCUUUUCCUAUAAAUUAGAGCAUGCUUUCCUACUGAAUUUUGCAAGAAGGAAAACAGACUCCCUCCUGCUGAUGUGAGGCGGCAGUGCUAAAUCUCCCUCAAGAUUCGCUUUGGCUUCUUACAACUUUGACAGGCUCUCAAAAGAAGACAGAGAAAUUAACAAAGAGCACUGGUGUAGCAGGGGAAGUAAAAUAUGAAGUGACUUCCCACAGGGAACACCUAAUGACUUCUGGAGAAGAGGAUCAAGAGGAUCUUGUAAGGGAAUUCUAUUUGAUCAUCCUACUUGAAGAAUAAUGAAUGGAAGAUCAGGUCUAUAAAUCCAGAUCUGGAGGAUGGAAGGCCCACGAUAAGGUGCUGACAAGUUUGACCCUUGAGGUUAGAGGCCCAAAGAAUGAAAAAUAAUUUGAAGGCGAAAUUGAAUCCACAUUUGGAAUUUCAGCAAGAACAGGAACAAGGAGGAAGAUUCCAGGGAUAUAAUGCAACUCAUAUUUAUGGAUGUAAUAUUAUAAAGCAUAUUUCAAAAUGUAUGACAACACCACUCCCGCCCUGAUCUUCCUAAUACCAUCACUGUAAUUGCCUUGACAUGAAAUAGCACCAACCCAGCGCUCGGGCUUUGAGGGUGAGGAGACCAAAACUGAGGGCUUCUAGAUGGCUGUCGUGCAAAUGUUCCUCUUGAAGUAUUUUGAAUUUGGGUCAUUCUAAUAGGGUCGGGACAAACUGGCGCCUAACGUGAGAGCUCGAGUACGAGGGACACAGUGAGGGAUGCCGUCGAGGUCAGCUGGCACAGAAGGAUUAAGAAACACGGAGGAAAGAGCAUCAUGGGAACCUGCCACGGACUCACGCUCCGAAACAUGCGGACCUUAAUAUUGAUAUCCCUGAUAAUCGCUCUCAUACCUAAGACCGACAGCGGAUUCGGAUCACAAUAUGAUGUAAGAUCAACUUGACUCCCUAGCCGAAGUAGUCCUGCAAAACCGACGAGGCCUAGAUCUGCUCACCGCCCAGAAGGGAGGACUGUGCCUUGCAUUAGAUGAAAAAUGCUUUUAUGCUAACCGUUCUGAUGUUGUCAGAGAUAAGAUAAAAGCCCUGUAAGAAGACCUGGCAAAAAGAAGAAAAGCACUCUUCGAUAAUCCAUUGUGGGGAGGGUUGAAUGGGUUCCUCCCCUAUAUCCUCCCCCUCCUCGGCCCUUUUGUCGUUUUCCUCCUACUCCUCACUGUUUGUCAAACAACAGAUUGACUCCAUAAAAAUGCAGCCCCUGCAGGUCCAUUAUCAUAAGCUGGAAAUGGCUACAGUGGAAGCUUGAUAAGCACCACCAACCGUUUCUGACAUCGCCUGAUGAGCUGGACCACUUAGCCAAUGACGGGCAACCUGAGAGCCUAGCAGUAAGAUAUGAAUCCCGCUCACCCUAUGACGGGUAAGGGUAAAAAGCAUCACUGCAGGUGUAUCUCUUGACCUAAGACAGGCAUGGUCCUCACAGGCAAUCGGCCACACAAAAAUUAAAUAAAAAGGGGGUACCUGUGGGGAGCAGUAGCCAUCUUGUAACUAUGUUGCUUAAGCUUUUGUUCCUCUUAUCUAAACCUCCAUCUUGUGGGCUUCCCUUAUUUAAGUUUCACAUUAGUCACGAGGCCUCGUCUCCCUGGUUGCUCUCUGACCUCAGCCCUCAGAACUUCCUGCCCUUACUUGUUUAUAAGCAACCGCCUUGUAGCUAAUAAACGAGACUUGAUCAGAUCCUUGACUUGUCUCCAUUCUCUGCGUCUCCUGUCUGUCUAUUUUAAUCCCCACUCCCUCCCUAGGGUGUCUGUUGCUCGUCCCGCAGGUCGGGACACCUGAGUAGCUGGGAAUACAGGUGUGAACCACUGCGUUCAGCUCUGUUAAAAUUUUCAAUAGUACGAAAAUAUAUUAAUUAAAAGUAUAUAUUUGGUUUUAAUUACCUUACAUGAAAACCCUUUCCCUGUAUUUUCUGUUCCACUGAUUAUCUUUUGCUACCUGGUCAGUUUUUUUGAUUGGGUAUAUUUGUCUUGCCAUUGGUUCUGCUUCUUUAGUAAGUACACCAAUUAUUAAUCUCUGCAUCUAUAUUCUCUCUAAUCGUUUUUAUUAUUUUCUUUUUUUUGUUUCUCUCAGACCUGUCUUCCAACUUGAUGGAUAUAUUGGUAACAUUAUCUAUUCUAUUUCUUGCUGCUUUCACUAUGCUUUUUAUUUCUGUAACAAUUUGUUUAUCUGCAUUUUUUGAGACAAUAGGGGACAUAUUGAGAAAGCAUGUGAAGACAUCAGUGGGGCUUACACUGAAUUUGAGCCAAUUCCACAGUUUCUGAAUGGGAUUCCUAGGUGUGGAUAAAUGGACUUAGAGCACAAGACAGCUCAUUGAAACUAAGCUGAUGGAGAGUGAAGAAAGGUAAAGGGACAAAAUAGGGUGACUGCAUUACUUUGGGCUCUCCAGAGAAACAAAACCAUGAAGAUCUAGUUAUAUCUGUCUCUACUUUAAGGAAUUGACUUACCUGAUUGUGGAGGCUGAGAAGUCCAAGAUCUGUAUUCAGCAGGCUGGAGACCUAGAAGAGCCAAUGGUAUAAAUUGCAGUUUUUAUCUGAGUUUCAAGGCAGAAGACCUUUUUAUGUGAGCUAACUAGGAGUUUUGUUUCUGUUUUUUUAUUUUUAAUAGGCAUAAAUAGCAACAAAAACUGCUGUAACAGGAAAUAACACAUUUUAGGAAUAAACUGGUUUCUCCUCCUUAACUGUGGUCUCUCAAACAAGAUGUUAAUCUUUAAUGAUACUACAUGUCCAAUUUUAUCACAAAUAAUACAUAAGUGACAUGAAAUACAUGCUCUGUUAAAAUUGUAUUUCAUAAGUCUAUUCAAUAGAUGGGGGAGAGAAAUCUGCUUAACUCAGUCUCUACAUGAGAUUAACAUUUGAAUGGGCAAACACUAUCAUAGACACCUGGUGACCCCCUAGAAUACUGUUGAACCAAAUAUCUGGGCACCCUGAUUUGUCAAGUGUACAAAUAGAUCAGCAUGUUGGCCUUGUGUGGCCACUUAUCCAUAGAUCUAGUAUGAGAGACCUUCCCUACUGCAUGCAUAAAUGCCUCAGUUUAUCAAGGAGUGCCCUGCAUCCUGGCUCACCCAUACAUGCUCUGCACCUCUAACAUUGGCAGACACAUAUGACAGACAAGAAGGAUGAGAAAUGUUCCCUAAUCCUACACUGCAAAUAGUAGAAAAAGUAAAGAAAUUCAGUGCUAGGCAUGACUGUAAUCAGGGUACAAGGAAGCACUACAAAUAAUCUAAGGCUAAAGAAAUUGCAUAUUAUUCUGUCUUGAGGACUGAUACUUUAAAAGUAUGUACAUGGACAGCAAGGAAGGACUAGGACACUCACUAACUUUAGUAUUCUCUACAUGUUCUUAAAUUCCCAAUAGAGUUAAUCCCUGAAACACAAAUAGUAUCUCCAUUUUAAGUACCUACCUGUAAAGAGUUCAUUUAAAGUAAGCUAGGGGGUCACCAGGUAAUUACAAUAACCACAAAACUACAAAAACUUCAUAACAAUAAAAAUAUACAUUCUCAAACAGAAGACUUCCCAUUAUAGAAUAGCCAAAGUCAAAAGUGAAAGUAAAUCAAAGCAGCUGAGUAUAUAAGCUGCAAAUGUAAAUUAUUCCAUUUACCAGGUUUUUAAAUGAUAGAGAAAUUCAGAGCUCAGCUUAAGUACACA